CAGCAUUCUUCCUAUUUAAAGCUGCAUCGCUUGAAAAAAGUUUUCUCAGACUGUGCUGGAGCUGGUGCUGAAAAAGGGGGUUUGCAAAGGCUGCCCUGGGGCUGGUGCUAAAAGAGCCCGCAGCUGACUUCAUGGUGCUACAAUAACCUUAGAAUCUACUUUUCACUCCCAGGAGGACCCACAUGUCUAAUAUUUAGACAUGAUGGCAAACUGGGUGGAAGCAAGACCUCUCCUCAUUCUUACUGUUUUAUUAGGGCAGUUUGUCUCAAUAAAAGCCCAGGAAGAAGGCGAGGAUGGUGAGUUUGCUGUUUGCUUUGCUUGUGGUGUUUACUGCACGGUUUGGGAAAUAGGUGGAAUGUUAAGCCUCGGGAAGGAAGAGCGUGAAGAGGAAGUUCUGGUUUGAAGUUGAGAAGGGGGCUGACAGAUUUGCACCUGGGAAACGGCUCUCUCUCGGAAGACAAUCAGGAUAUUUGUAAAUGCGGAGCUUCUCCAUCUGCCGUUGGGCUGCAUGUUUCUGGGAAACCCUAGGAGAAGUCCUUUUGCCUGAAUGUGGACAGUGGGAACUUUAAAAGAAAUGGAGAGUGCUUAAAACGGAGCACUAAAGGCACUUUUAGCCAGAGGAGUUCUGUUCUGUGGGCUGGAGUUUUCAGAGCAAGGAAAAGUCGCAGCAGGAGCUGGGUAGGGUGGAGUCUUUUUUGUACGGAACUUCAGCUGCUUCAUACAAUUCUUUGUUUAGAAAAACCUCUGCAGCCACUCUGAUAACUGAUUUUUCUUUGUCUUUGGCUCCUUAUUCUUUUCUCUUUACAGGCUUUUACUUCUUUCCCAUUUUCAUUUGUGAUCUUAAACCACUUUUGCUUACUGAGAGACAGUCUCGUUUACUUGUCCGUGACAGAGGCUGAUAGAAGCCAGAUUUCUUAAACAGUGGUAUUUUCCCACCCUACUGACUUGAUUAUCAGGACAGUGGUGGCUCCCUGCUGGAUGGCGGAAGGCUGCAAAUCGGCAUGCCUUAUAUAUAAUGUAUUUAUCAUGGAGUAUUUGCAUGGGCAUUAUCCUUUAGACACAAGUUUCAUUUCUUUUUAAUGAUUUAAGGCAAAUCUUGCCUGGUUACCGAUUUUUUUUUCCUAUGCAAUUUGCUCAUGGUUAGAGUUGGGUGGCAUGGUAUGGUUAAGCAAAAACGCAUGGCUGCUAUAGAAUAUAAGAAAACAUUUAAAUUGGUUCCACUGGUUAUUAAAUCCUUAUUCUCCAGACAUGUUUUUUUUCAUAAUAGACCAUAUACAUUUUCAUAACUAUUUAACAUCAAACUCAAGCUUUUAAAACUUAGCACAUUUAAACUUUUCUGUUAUUGUCUUUUAUAUAUAUUUUGAGUGUAUAUAUAUAUAUAUAUAUACAGAUAUAUGCAUAUGUGUGUGUAUAUUUUUUAAUACCUGCUUCUGUGUAUUUUUGCUCUGAAGAUGUUCAUAAAAUUAAUCUACAGGCCACAAGGUCUAAAAAUCAUUUAAAGAGUGAAAAUAAGAAUGUGAGAUGAAUACUCAACAAUCUGUCCAGAGUCCCAUAGAGGGGGCACUUUCUAAAAUCUUGUAACUUUUUACGUUACUUUUUAUGUUUUAAAAAACGAGGCAAUUCAUAAAAGGUAAAACUGUUGAGUUUCUUUGAAAUGGUGUGAAAAACAUUAGUUGUUUGGAGGGGAGGUGAAAAUAAUUGAAUAGGUACUAGGAGUCAGGAAAGGGGAGGAAAAAAUAUGGAAAAAUUACAAUAGAAAUAGCAAAUUUAAUUAUAAAAGGAACAGUUCACUCCCCUCCCCCACCAAAACAAUCAACAACUUUAGUUUAAAACUUAAUUAACACAAUUUUCCAUGUCAAUAUACUUUAAAAUAAACAACUUACUUUUAUAAAGUGUGGAAAUAAUUGAUCAUGUGAAUAAACGAAAAGAGUGUUUCAUAAGGUAUAUGGAAUAGGCAUAUGUUAAAAGACUUUCCCAAAUAAUUGUAAUUACUCUGUAGGUGUUAUUGAAAAAUAAGGAGAGUUUAAUGUUUUCUAAUAUUAAUUUACCUAAAUUUUAGAAAUUUUAUAUUUGGUGCAAAUCAGUCUCCAUCUCCAUACCAACCCCUCUUCCCCCUAUAUAACCAAACAGCACAGCAAUCGGAAUCCCAAACAUCAGAUUUUACAGAAAAAGUAUAAUUCCGUACAUACACAUGGUAAAACUUAAAUUCCUCUGUUUUAUUACUCAACCCAGGAGAAAAUAUGUGAUAAAAAUUCAAUAGCAAUAGAAAGUUGUAUGGCCCAAAUUAAAGGUAAUAUACACAAGAAUUCCAGAAUCUAGUAUAUUCAGAGUUUUGUAACUUGUAUUGUACUUACUUACUGUUCAUAUUUUGGUUUCAGUUAUAUUGAAUGGAUACUUGGCAAUACUUUAUUCCCCCUGUUCAGGCUUGACACAAGCUUAAUAAAAGUGUCAGAAUUUUGAAACUCCAUGUGAUUUUAAGUUUGGGGAAGAGUAAGUUCAAGUAAAUGCUUUAAACUAAAGAAAUAGCUAAGGUUCACAGGCAAAACAAGUAUAUUUUUCAAAUUUUGGCUAUAACUAAGUGAUAUAAUGUGGUAGUGAUUUUGUGUAAAAAUAUGUCCCCUUUGAAAUGUAGACACGUGUUAUCACAGGUAACUACAUGUUUACAAGCUUUUAUAGUUUUCAAGACUUCAAGGUAUAUUUUUUAUCUGUUUGACUGUGUUUAUUUACCAGAAAUGUCAACAUAAGCACAAUGUCUGCCUGAUAGAAAUACUUAUGAAUGAUGAGAUAAGAGUAAAUAAAUAAAGUUUUGGGACAUAUAGGCCCAGAUAAUUACUACCUAUCAAAAAUAUAAGAACUGAAUUCAUUUUUCACAUUCCUAAGAACUGAAGGGAAGUUGGGCUAACUUUGGUUGACACUAUUCAGUAACAAGAAGCAGAGUUAAGAAGACAAAAUCAGCUUUUCAUGAUUUUUGGGGUAUAUGUGUUUGUGAUGGUGGUGGUGGGAUGCUUUAAAAGGUUCCCCAUUUGUUUUUUCUAGGAGAAAAUACUAUGAAUUUAUAGUAAUUUUUAUACUCCUAAACAAAGGUCUAACACCUAUUGAGUUAUGCACAUUUUUGUUAUUAGAAAUGGACAGACUUAAUCUGAGAAUAUAAUCUUUGAUAUGAAUUGUUGAUUUCAACAACAGAGAAAGAAUGGGGAGAAGGAAAGGUGCAACAUUGUACCAUUUAUUUCCAGAGACCAGGUAGGUGACAUAAACAGGUGAAGCAAGUGAGUGUUUGUAUAUCAACAGGGGAUGAUGGGCCUGUGGAGAACUGAAGAUGCAUAUGCCCACUUUAAGGCAUUCAAAACCAGUGUUUUCCAGAAAGCAUUGCAUAAGCCAAAUACAAUAUCUCUGAGUGCCAAGUCUGGCUCAUGGACCAUAAAUUUGCAACCCUCUUGUUGCAACCCUACACUGAUAUCCUGGACCCAAGCCAGCUUCUGAUUACUAAGAGAUGAAGGGCUCAGAGUCCUUUUUAUAUCAUGGUUUCUUCCAUUUUUAUGUCACAUCUACCAUUUAUCUCAUUAUUAUAAUACAAACUUGAAGACACAAGUGCUCAUUACUUAGUACUACUUGGCCCAGAUCGUUUUAAAUGGUACUGAGUACAUUACUAAGUAGUACUUGGAUUGAAUCAUUUUAUAGGAAGUAGAGAAUAUGAAUACAUAGCUUAAGAUACUUGAAAACUCAUAAAUUGUUUUAAACUCAUUACUAUUGAAAUAGAUACUUUGGAUUAUGUAGGACAUACAACCUUUUCUUUCAUAGUGGAUGUUUUAAUCUAGAUUCAGCUGCAUAUACCAGAAUGCAAUUGUUUAAAUUUUUUUUAAAGUGCUUUUUUUUUUUUUUUAAUAAAAGAAAGUUUUAGUUAGGUAGUGAAAGGCUGGUAUAUUAGCUCUACAAAGUCAUCAAAGACCCCGUCUCUUUCUAGUUCUCUACUCUCAUAUUCCUGGGGUAUAAUCCUUGAUGUUGUGGUCUUAGAUGGCUGCUGAAUUUCCAGCCGUUACAUUUACUUUCCAGGCAUCUGGAUAGAGGAUGAGAGACGAAGGCUGUGAUUCUCUCUUUAUUCAUGGAGACUAUUAAGUCUUCAUCCCAUUUCAACUUACUUGUGGCCAGAAUUCGGUCAUAUGGUCACACAAAGCUACAAGGGUGGCUGGGAAAUGCAGUCUUUUAGGUGAGUAGCACUAGCAGUAUACUCUACUGAAUAGAAUUAUGUUACGAAAGAAAUAAAAGAGAGAAUAGCUGUUAGGAGGCAAAUAUAGUCCCAACCGCAAUGAGUGUAACUGUCACCCACUUUCAUUGGAAUAGAUCUAGUUUCACUGGGCAGGAUAUAGUUGUGUGACCAGAUGUACCCUUGUUAUUGGUCACUUCCAAGUAGUCCAUGAAGCCAAGAACAUUGGAUGGCACUUAAAUUAGACUGCAGCUUUUUGCUUUCUAAUUCUUUUAAAAUACAUUUAGAAGUACCUAUAACUUUUAUCCAAACUAAAGUGAGGCUUUAUUUUGAAGACUAUAUCUCUCUCUAUAGAUGUAGACUGGUAGAUUGAUAGAUACAGAUAAGUUUUUAUAUUGACAGAACAACAUGUGCUUUGACCAUGACUCUUUAGGUUAGUGGGUAAGCAAUCCACAGAUCCACGUUGAGCUGGCUGAAUAAUCAUCUGAAGAGCUUGUUACUCAUAUAGAUUCUAGGCUUCCCUCUUUUCCAGAUAUCUUGAUGUAGAUGGUUUGGAUGGGAUUUGGGAAUUCUCUAGGUGAUUCUGAUUCCUGUUGGUUAACCACUAUACUGCAUCUCUGCCUAACAUCCUUUUGAUAUUGACGUGGACCAGUUGGCUUCUUGUUCCAAGACUACACAACUGUGGUGUAGAAAUAACUUGCUAUUCUACUUAUUCCUUUCACUUACAAAGUUGCCUAAUUAAAGUUUGCAGAGAAACUGUGGCAAAUUCACCAUCAUUUCUGGAAAAAUAACUCAAUGCCCAAAUCUUCUUCACGGCAGUUAGGUAAAUCAUUCUACUAUGCAAUGAGUACAUCUUAUUAAAAUAUAUUUCCAGGUGGUUAUAUAAUUUUCAUUUUCUCUCUUGCUUCCUGUCUUCACAUUUUUAGCACACUUUUUCACCACAGGUCUAAAAUUCAUUGUAUUGGUCAGUCUAGAAAUGCACAUAAUGCUGACUGUGAGGUAAAAACACAAAGAGAAAUCUUUGUUUUGAGUAGCUGGGACUUACAAGUUUGGAAUAAUGUUAAUCUAUGGCCACAGAAAAAAAUCUUUUUUAAACAAUGUUCUCCUACUUGAAGGACAAUCCAUACAUCAUCAGUGGCCUUUUAUCACAUUCAUAAAAUGUUUAAAAAUCAGUCAUUUUUUGACCUACUAUGUUUUGUUUUGAAUCACAACAUUCAAAAAUUUAGAUUUACAUAUGAAAGAUGUAGUAAUGAUAGAGGAAAAGACUAAAAUUAUUAGUUAUUAAUUGAUUUUAUUAUAUAAAUUUGGGCAAGUUGUACAAGUUUGUAUAAAACAAUGGAGUUGGGAAGAUAUUGACAAUUCAGUUUUCCUCCUAAUUUCUUUCCAUGUAAAUUUUACAUGUAUUUCAUCUAAAUUUCCUUUAGGACUGUUGAGCUGUUAUAAUCAAUAUUUUUAAAACAAUAUUUUUAAUCUACUCUUGCAUUUGCUUGACGAGAGGAGCAGACUGUCUUAUGGAAUAUUUUGCCUUAAAAUUGUGGCCACAUUGGCAGCUUUGAUGUUUUUAUUAUAUUUUAUUGAUGUUCAAAACUAAGCCCUUCCAAAGAAAUCAAGUUGUUUUCAUCUUAUACAUAAUAUAUUCUCUAAGGAACAGUGUAUAAGAUAAAUCACAAUAAUGCAAGAUUUUUCUUAUCCCCAUGUUGCCUUCUACAGAGAAGGUAGUGAUAUUAACAAUAUUAAUAAAUUAAGAUUAAUGAAUUAAUGGAAACUUGUCCCUAUAGCUCUAUGGUAUAAUGUUCAAACUCGAAAAUGUUUGCAUCCUUUUUUUUUUUUUAAGUUUCUCCUAGGAAGGAGAAAAGACAGUCUCACAGUUCUCUCUCUCUCUCUCUCUCUUUUUUUUCUUUUUUUUUUUUUUCUUUUUUGGGUGUCUGCUCAAUCAGAGUUAUAAACCCAGUUUCAAGAGGCAACAAAUAUAUUUUCAGUGGAAAUGUUGCUUGCAACAUAAGCGUCAUAGACUUAUUGCAGUCUGCAUACUGUAGUAAGGAAAGGAAGCCCAGUCCAACAAUCACUGGGAAAACACAUGGGUUCUGGUCCAUCUCUGCUAUUUAGCUGUUUUGCAACCUGCAGAGAGUCCUUUAGUCUCACCAAGCCUUUGAGUCCUCAUCUAAAAUCAGGGAUAAUGUACACACCCCUGUCAAUCUGAUGGGACUCCUAGGCAGAUCAUUUGGGAAAAUUACCUGAAGGUAAUUUUAGAGCACUUAAAUGAGACACAGAGAGUGAUAUUACAAUCUGAUUUCAGUCAUCACCGAUACAAACCUUAGUGGUAUAUUUUUUACUUUACCUAAUCUUUGAAUUUAUUUUGAGAAAACUUCUGGAUUUGUUCCUCUUCUGUACUUUCUUUAUUCUCCAUUUCCCAGAGGAACUUGCUCCAUCAAUCAUGUUCUCUUUUCUAUAACUACAACCACUCUCUUUCUUUGGUGCUUUUCCCGCUAUCUUAUAAACAAUCUCAGCUCUCUCCCAGGGCCCCUGUGUGGCUCCCACCCUUUCUUAAUUCUUACCCUGCCUGCUUUAAAAGAGUAAUAUAGUUUUCUGUCUCUCCUUCCAUGCCCUCACUCAUCCCUAUGUACUCUGACUUUUGCCUGCUCCCUGCCCCAUUCCAGUGAAGCUAGUGGAGUAAGAUGAAGACGAAAAUGGCGAUGUUUCCAGUGGGCUCCUUUUACCUGUCUUAUCAGGUUUCGCCUUUAUUUGAUACAAUUAACCACUCCAGCUUUCCUGAAAGACUACUCUCUGAAAGCCCUUCCUCUAGCUACCUUACCUUUUCUUCUCAGCAUGGGCUCCUUCUCUCCUUUUUUCCCUUAGCACUUUGUUUUCUCAGAGGAUUUAGUUCACUGGUCUUCCCUGUAUAUUCUCUUCCUAGAUCCAUCUAGGAAUCAAUCACUCUCAGGGUUUUGCUUAACAACUAACUGCUGAUAAUUCUCAAAUCUCUUUCCAAUCCUGAACUUCUACAUGAACUUCAGAAUUCUCCACUGAUGGGCCAUAACCACUUCAAGUUCAGUGUAUCUAAAACUCAACUCAUUAUCUUUCCCCUAAGACAAGAUCAUUUUUCCUGUGUAUUCCUUAUAUCAGUUAAUGGCAACAUCAUCUUACCUGGUCACUCCAGCAAAAUUCCAAUCAGUUACUAAAUUCUUCCGUUUUAUCCACUAAAUAUUUCCUCAAUAUACCUCUUCUCCCUGCCUUCUCCAAACACCUCAGUUCAGGCCUACAUUAUAUCCCUGGAUAAUUGCAGUAGCAUUUAAAUUCCCUGCCUUGCCUCCUGUGUGGCCACUUCCCACUUGCAUGUGUAUAGACCUCUUCUGUUGCCACUGUGAUAUAAAAAUCUAAAUCAAAAAACCUAAAAUCUGAUCACAUCAUUACCUUCCCUAUAACCUUCCAUUGACUCCAAUAAUUUGGAGAAAGAAUAAUGUUCAAGCUCCUAAGCAUGGCACACAAGACCUUCUAAGAUCUGGCCUGUUUCUAGAAUGUGAGUCAGAUCAGCUGUAACUCCAUGUCUCAAAAUAAGAAAUUGCUUGUAGUUUUGACCUCCCACUGCACAUACACACAUGCACUUUUCCUUUUUUUACCUCUGCUUUUCAGAUUCCACUCCAUGUUAUGAAUUCAUUUUAUGUAUUAGGUACAUGAUAGUUAUUCCAUUAUUAAUUUAAUGGAAUAUUAAUUUUUAAAAUCUAAAAAAAAUUCCCACCAUUUAUUUUAUUUUACUUUAUGUUUAUUUUAUUUUUGAGAGAGAAAGAGAGAGAGAGAGACAGAGCACGAGCAGGGGAAGGGGCAGGGAGAGAGGGACACAUAGGAUCCGAAGCAGGCUUCAGGCUCUACACUGUCAGCAUAGAGCCUGAUGCGGGGCUCGAAGUCACCAACUGUGAGAUUAUCACCUGAGCCAAAGUCGGUGCUGAACCCACUGAGCCAUCCAGGUGCCCUUCUUUUUUUUUUUCCCCUUGCCAUUUAUUCAAGUAUCAGUGCACUUAUUUCAAACUCAGGUUUUGCAAAUUUGCAUAUUCUUGAGCAAUUUUUUUUAUUUCUCUGUCUUAGUUUAUUUAUGUAUACAAUUAGAAUGAUAAUGUUUACCUCAAAUAAUUAUUAUGAACACUAUCCCACAUAUAAACCACCUAUAUAGUAUGGCUCCUAGCAAAUAGCAGGAGCUCAUUAAAUGAUAGUUGAUAUUAUUAUUCCAUUACUACUUAAUAACAUAGAAAUAAUAAUAAAUGCUUAUUGGGUGAUUAUGACGAUGAAACUGUUAGUAUGGAAAAAUAAACAACUUUUGUUCUCAAAGAGAUGAACGUCUAGUGUAAAACUUAAAAUGCAAAUUUUACCUACCAUUGUAUUAUGGUCAUUUUGAUAAUACAUCGAUGUAUUUACCUGAUUUCUAAUUGGGCUAUAUUUUAAACCUAUUUAAAAUUUUUAUUCUUCAAACAGUAGAGUUUUACUGUAUUGGCUCCUUAUAUAGGUUUACUAUGGGAAAAAACAAAAGAAACAAAAACAUCUUUCCACUGGAGACUGGAGACUGUCUCAUGGCCAUGUGGUCUGAAGCAUCACCCCCCACUUCCUGUUUCACACCCCCCCACACACACAUUUCAUUCUGUGCAAUGGUUUCCAGUGUGUGAGCAAGCCAAGCACGAUUCAUUCCAUGCCCCAGUGCUACCUCAUGCCUGUCUACCAGCUAUGUCUAUUUCAGAGUUUAUUCCCUGAAAAUAUGAGAGUCAUAAAAAUCUCUAUUAAAAAUUGGAAGCUUAUUUUCCAAACUGCAUUGCUCUGGGUUGCAUUUGCAAUGAGAGGAAUUGCUUCACUGCACAGGGAUUUACAAGGCAGCUUCCAGGACUAUUUGGAUACAGAAGUGGGGUGACCCAUCUUUUCCCAGACUUCGCAGCAAGUCUCUUCAUUUUCCAAAGGUUGCUGGUUUCUUCACUCCUACUCCCAGGAGAUUUUUGUGAAGUUUACUCCAGAAAGCAGAAACUGUGUAGGAAGUAGGCACAUUAUUCACACUCAUGCUUUCCCUAGUUUGCUGCACUUUUCAUUCUUCCCAGUUUUUCACACUUUAAUAAAAUGAUGGUUUUGACUUAGAGGGAGGCGCACUUAUGGAAUUUUACCAGAUAAUUUGUAGCUAUGAAUUUCUUUAACUAAAUCUUUAUUAUCCAGUAUGGUUGUUCUGUGGCCAUCAGCUUUAGAUUUUUUUUUUUCAUUAUGGAAUUCUAAAAAUAUGGAUGGUUUCCAUAGCAAAUAAAUUCAUUUAUAGAGCUUUAAUCUUUUUAUUUAUCUUAAAUAGUAGUUGUAUGCUUAUUGCUCCUGAGGUAGAGGAACCUAUCCGAUUCAUUUAUGCUAGUUUGAAAUUAUUUUUUUAAUGUUUAUUUAUUUUUGAAAGAGAGACAGAACAUGAGUGGGGGAGGGGCAGAGAGAGAGGGAGACACAGAAUCAGAAGCAGGCUUCAGGCUCUGAGGUGUCAGCACAGAGCCCGAUGCGGGGCUCGAACUCAGGAACCACUAGAUCAUGAGCCAAAGUCGGACGCUUAACUGACUAAGUCACCCAGAUGCCCCUAGUUUGAAAUUACUUUUAAGACAUUUCUGUCUCAUUCUUUGCAGAGCUUUAUAUUGAAGAAAUGAUUAAGUUACAGUUUAAUUCAGAACACCAUGUUUUUCAUGUUAGUGCUAAUUUUUGAACUAGAAUUUCUGAUAGGAUGGGCUGGUGGACAGUGAAGUUAAUUGAUUGUCAUAGUAGAUGAACUGCAAAAAACCUGCCUAGUUUUCAGGUCUUUGGCUAUAAACACUAAAUCUCUGAAGCUUUAAAAACAAGCCUUAUACUUUAUUUUGAGAAGGCAGAAGGGUACUGGUCAUUCCAAGGUAAAUGAGUGAUUCUGAUAUAAGAACUUUCUUUUACACAAGUUUAUACUGGUAAAAAAAAAUAACCUUGGGCCCUUGAAGGAGGAACAACUGAACACUUCAUCAGAGUUCUUGUGUUCAGACCUUCAGGUGCUAUAAGUGUUAUGUCUUUCUGAGUAUUCAUACAAAAUGUCACUUCUUUCUCCAACCAUUUCCCAUAUCCCCUCAAGUCGUGGUGUCCACUGAUGAGAUUAGGCAAGGGUUUGUGCUUUUAUUUUUCUCCCUCAAGCAUCGUAAAACUGAACUGGAUUUUGCUGAGAAACAACUAAUAAAUUCCCGAACAAAUGGAAUUCUCAUUAGCCUGGGAAGAAUUCAGUCUUCUUGCAAUCUGCUUAUUUUAUUUUUUAAAAAAGUGGGGUAAUUCCUUUAUGUAGAGAAAGAGACAAAACUGAAACAGAAUUAGUGCUAUAGAGAUUAAUCAGUGAAUGCAUUUGAAGUUCCAUUGGCAAGGCUCGUGAUGGUUUGGUACACAGAGGAUGAUAAAAUAUUGAUAAUUAAACUUGUACUUUUAAAUGUUAUUUUGGCAUUUGCAGCAUAUAGAUAAGUAUGUUCCAUAAACUUGCCAAAGGAACACUUACCUGAGCUACCUUGUCUUCUUUCCACAUCUGUUCUAUGGAGGCAAUGUUGCAAAGUCCUAGAGGAAAGAGCAGGUUCAGUUCUAGAAAAACAACUUGGAAAUAGAUGACUUUUAUUUUAUUUUGCUUUGUUUUGUUUUAGGAAAAUAUGCUCUCAGCCUCCUUUCUGUUUGAAGGGAAAGCAUUCAGAAUUCUGCAUGAAAAUCAGGGUCUCACUGCAACUCCACCUGGAUGUCACCUUCCCAAAUUUUGCCUUAAAUUACAGACUUUUCCUUGGAGCCUGUUCUCCUAUCAGAACUUACUGUUUGUUGUCCUUUUCUUUCCUACUCCAUAGGAAACUAAUAUAUAAUACAUGCUCCCCUAGUUACUAUUCUUUUUUUUUUUUUAAUUUUUUUUUCAACGUUUAUUUAUUUUUGGGACAGAGAGAGACAGAGCAUGAACGGGCGAGGGGCAGAGAGAGAGGGAGACACAGAAUCGGAAACAGGCUCCAGGCUCUGAGCCAUCAGCCCAGAGCCCGACGCGGGGCUCGAACUCACAGACCGCGAGAUCGUGACCUGGCUGAAGUCGGACGCUUAACCGACUGCGCCACCCAGGUGCCCCCCUAGUUACUAUUCUAAUGCAUAGUGUUAGUAAUAUUACUCCCUUAUAAUGAGAGCCAUUAUAUGGUAAUUUGCCUUUUGCAACCUUUUUUUUCACUAUUCUCUGGCCAUCAGAAUCAGUGGACAUCAUGGCUGUGGAUGAAAACUCCAGUAUCAUCAGAUGGACUCUGAGACUCACGCUUUAGGUGGAUGAAACAUGGCUGUCCUGGACAUUCUGUACUUGCCCAUGGAAGGUUCCACAAUCAAGACAUUAAAAUCACUUCAGAUCCAUUCUAAUAGAAACUAAAAGUUGCCUUAGUAUAAUCAAAAUGGAAAUUUGCCCACCAGAUUCCCUUUGUUUCUGAAGAGGAACUUUGAGUUUCUUCAGGAUAGAACCCUAUGAUAGUGCAUCCUAUGGAAGGCAUAAAAGCAUGGAAGGAUGGGUUCUCUGUGGUUAUGUAAGGGUGCGAAUUAACUUCAUUGUAAUACACUGAAGUGUCAGGCACCAAGCUAACAUGAGACUUCAUGAUUGUAUCAUGUCUUGUGAGAUUUAUUUAGAAUUUUAAAGAGGUUGGGGAAGUUUGUGAUAUCUCUUAAUUUCUGUUCUUUAAUUCCUCUAUUUUUUUACUCUAUGUUCCUCAAAUGUAGCCAUUUUAGAAUAAAAUAAAUAAACACUACCACAAUACUAUAUCUAUUUUUUUUUUUUUUUUAGCCAAUAGCAUAUAUACUAUCAAACAAGCCUAUGGACAAAAAGGAAUAGGUCAUUGUUUCAUAGUGAGAUUUUUUUUGAUUCUGUGAAAUUCCCUCAAUUCCCGCGUAUUGCCAUUUUUCAAUACUUAGGGUUUUUAACAGUUAACAAUUUCUAUGCUUCGAAUUUCUCCUUUUCCACUCACUUUCAAUAAGCAGUUAAUAGGGCAUGGGUCUUUGGAGUCUGACAUUUGAGUCCUGACUUUGCCUGGUAACCUUGUGAACUUUAGCAGGUUGCUCAUCUUUGAGAUUCAGUUUUUUUCAUUUGCAUAUUGAAGAAUUGAGUUAAAAUUCAUGGCACUUUAUAGGCACUGAAGAAAAACAGAUAUUAUUAAUACUUUGGAUAGAUUCCCUGAUUAGGCCAUUGCAGACUGCCUUCUCCAUAACUGAAAUAAUUUCCAUCAAUCUGUUCCCAGUUACUAGGUUUGAUAGGAAAAAGUUUGGGGGGUGCAGGGGCAGAAGAGGUGGUUAGGAGGGAGAGGUAUAACUGGGAGGCUUGCAAGGGCAAUAAAGAAUUUUUAUUUAUCUCGUGUUUUUCCCUUGAGACAGGACUGUGCCCAACUCUUGAUUAUUCACAAAGCAAGUUAGGAAAAGCAAAGCAGUAAAAACCCUGAAAGUUAUACUUUGGUAUCAGGAUGCAUUUCACAAACUUGGCAGUAUACAUACUCAUUUAAUUUUAUUCUUUUUUUUCUAAUAUAAUGAUUUUGGCAACUGUUUGCAGAUUUGGUUCAGGUAGAGUUGUUCAAGAAAAGUGAAACUAUCCUUAAUAUAUAACAAUUCUGUUUACUUUCCUCAAAUUUUACUGAUGUCAAGACAUACUUAUUUGAACACUGGGCAAUGUUUUUGUGAGAGAAAGCAGGCGCCUCCACCUGGGUGGCCACUGAAGGGUAAGGAAGGCGCUGUGUGUGUGUCACUCAGCUUCUACUAACUCAACAUGGCAGUGGGACCUAGAGAGCUCUAGCCCUGAGCUGGAUGACUGGAAUAAAGUCCUGACUCUUUGCUUAUAAAUUUCUUAUAAAUACAACGUUUGGAGCCUUAAUUUCCUCAUUUAUAAAGCAGGAAUAAUAUUUUUUAUUUUAUCACUUCUCAGGUUCAAAAUAAAGAAUUCAUAGUAUGUGUGGAAAUUCUAUGGUUAGCUAGAAAGGCCAAUGUAAGGGUAGUGUUAUUAUCUUAGCAUGCCUUUGCUGUGAUGAACAGUUAGCUGAAUGCAGACUAAAUGUUUUCUUUUAAGCAAAUGAUCAUGUUAAUGCUCCAAAGGAAUAUAAGACUCUCCAUAGAAAUGAAAGAAAGCAAAGUUAGUGUUUUUUCUUUUUUUAAAUCUCGAAUUGAGGAAAGUGAAAUACCUGCUUAUGUAACUAUCUAGGAACCUCCCAAAGCCCCAGAAAAGGAGAAAAUAAGAACAGAGGCUUUGAUGUGAGGGUAAACAGAUCAGAUGGAAAAAAAAACCCACCAUGAUUCUUGUAAUAUAAUUGGACUGUAGUCUCUCUACAAGCAAAAAUGUAGCUUCCUGGCAGAAAGCUGAUUCCACUAUUAUCAUUACUUUUCCCCUAUUCAUCUCUCAUCAGGAAGCCUGUCUCAAAAUCAAAGUUAAGCUCUAAGGGCCUGUUUGUAGCAUGGUAUCUCUUUUCCCUAGGUCAGAAGGUGACUUUGAACUAAAAGUUUAAACUGGUGACAAAUAUCCACAACAAUCUGAGCCAAGUGUUUAGACAAAGGUUCCAUCAGCCCUCAGGCCUGUCUACUUUCUGGUAUAUUUUAAGACUCUCUACUUGUACAGAGAGAAACAUGCAGUUAAAGAGAUGAGGGCCUCAACUAAAUAGACUGUUACUUUCUUUCAUGAAUAAAUUGUUGAAGUAAUUUUAAAGAAAAGCUUCUAGAUUAAGACUGGAGCAGGACAGGAAACCUCAUUCUAAUUGCAGCUCUAUCAUGAACUAACUUGGUGAUUUUGUGGAAGUGACGUAAAUUCUCUGGGCCUCAGUUUCCUUCUUUGUAAAACCUGUGAUAUAUUACCCAGAGACACUUCCUGCCCUGAAAAUCUGUGACUGUAGAAGGUUUACAUAAAGUUACUUCACAUAGGUCAGGUUUGUGCUCUACUGUGAGGACUCUUGUGCAUUCUUUGGGUAGAUUGAGAUAUCACGCAUAGUCUCUGUAAACGAUGUGUUGCUGUACUUUUAAAUUAAGAUUUGAUAGUUCUUAUCCAGGUUUCUGGUUAUUCACCUAACUAUGGGUUCAUCUCAGGAGUACAACUUCCAAUUUAUAACUUUGGAAAAUGGUAUGCUUUUUAGUGAAUGGCUUUACAACAAAGUUUCUAGAGAAGUGUCUAAAAGCAAAGUUUCUAGGCAAAAUUUCUAAAAGGAGCUUAUGGAAAAAAAUUAUGGUACUAUGGCCUCAAAUUGUGUGGGUUUCGUAUAAUUUUGAGCUUUCCAACGACAGAGAAAAUAUGUAAAUGUGUCAUGCAUUGUAUUACACCAUUACAACCGUUAAGACUCCAUGUUCUUUAGAUAUUUUUUUGGCGGAAUAGGCGGUCAAAGUUAAGCAGCAUCGUAUACUCUCAAUCUCAUAACUGAUGGAUUUGUCUUUGUAGCGGGAAUGUUGUCUACUUUUCCUGACAAUUGAACCUACUAAAAUGCUAUUCUUUCCAGACUUUAAAAAAAACGAAAAAAAGGAGAAGAAGAAUUAAGAGGCUAUGGGAUUUCACCUGAGGAGUAGAUCAUGGGGUAGUCAUGCUUGUUCUUGAGUCCAUAUUUUAAACUUAUUCUGGAGUCCUUAUUAUUUUUUUGCAAUUAUGUUUGUUGGGAGAUAUGUACAUGUUUAGUUUGAAUAUCUAGAAGAUUUGAUUUGUCCCAUUGAUAUUUCUUACACACAGGACUUUUGGAACAUGCUGCAUGUCCUUUUUUUUCAGGGAAAACGAGACUCCAUUCCUAUGCUUCUUUUCCCAGUUUCCUUCCUUCAACAACACUGACUGAGUCUUGUAAACAUUUAUGUCCCCAAGUCCUGCUAGAAUUUUGCUCCCAGAUAUCCUAGGGGUAGAAAACAGCCCUUUUAAAAUUGUCUCUAUAAGAAGUAUGUGUCUAAUUCAGGUGCAUGAAAAAUUUAGGUUAAAAAUCUGAAAAGAUUAAAAUACUCACAAAUGCUCACCUCCAUGUUCAAAUCACAGAGGCCAGUGGGAAAGAACUGUCAGGUUCUAGAUGAAUGUACUCUUCGAUAAGUGAGAUCCACUUGGUCAUCUUAUAGCACUUGUCAUAAUUUACUUUUGGGGGGAAUAUAAAUCCCCCUCAAAGGCUAUUAUAAGUGUGUUAGUGACAUUAGAAUUUAAUUCAGAUGAUUCUGAAAUUUUUGACUUUUUUUAAAAAACAAAUAAUGCUGCUGGUGGUUUUGACUUGCUUUUCUCUACAGAAGAUAUUCUCACCACACACCGAUGAGGCAGUUACUUGCAUUCCUUCAUUUAUUUAUUAUUCAGUGAACAUUUACUGAGUACCUAUUGUUUACCAGACACUUUUCUGAAUGAUGCAGAAACAAAUAUUUAAUCUUUGUCCCCAGGGAGCUAAUCAUCUAAUGGGCACAAGGGAAAUAAAGGACAAUAUCAUGUGGUCUGUGCUGAGACAGAGAUAGACAGAGGAUACUAGGGGCACCAGGAAGACACCCCUACUAUUCAAUACCUCAGAGGUGGAGGGCUGGGAUGGGAGGUCAGGGAAGAUUUGAGAGGAGGGAACACCGGAGCAGAGUCAUUCCCCUGUGUUUCUUCCAUUAUCUCCUUCAUCUGCAUUCCAUCCUGUUUGUCAUACACACAAAUCCUUCAAAUCCUAAUCAGGUCUGAUGUGCAUUCUCUUAAAAACCUUUUUUUUAAAUAUUUAUUUAUUUUUGAGAGACAGAGAGAGACAGAGCAUGAGCAUGGGAAGGGCGGAGAGAGAGGGAGACACAGAAUCCGAAGCAGGCUCCAGGCUCUGAGCUGUCAGCACAGAGCCCGACGUGGGGCUCGAACUCACAAACCUUGAGAUCCUGACCUGAGCUGAAGUCGGAUGCUUAACCAACUGAGCCACCCAGGUGCCCCAUUGAAAACCUUUUUGAUUAUCCGAGAUAUCUUUGUUCUUUUUGUCUAAAUGACAGUAGUCAGCACUUCCCCUUUCUAUGACACCUUUAGCAUUCAAAAGAAACUUUUCUGUGUUGUCCAUUGUUUUAGUUUCAUUUAUCAAUAGAUGUUAUUGAUCUUUAGUUUUAUCAUCUGCUCCUUGAGAAUAAAGAUGGGUAUUAAGGAGGGCACUUGUUUUGAUGAGCAGCAGGUGUUGUAUGUAAAUAUUGAAUCACUAAAUUGUACACCUGAAUCUGAUACUACGCUGUGCAUUAACUAACUGGAAUUUAAAUAAAAACUUAAAAAAAAAAAAAAAAGAAGAAGAAGACAAUCUCUCAAAUCCCAGAAAGUUAAAUACAUUUUUUAUUAUUUUUUAAAGUUUUAUUUAUUUAUUUAUUUAUUUAUUGACUCUUAAUUAAUUAAUUAAUUUUUCAAUAUAUGAAAUUUAUUGUCAAAUUGGUUUCCAUACAAUACCCAGUGCUCAUCCCAAAAGAUGCCCUCUUCAAUACCCAUCACCUACCCCCCCCUCCCUCCCACCCCCCAUCAACCCUCAGUUUGUUCUCAGUUUUUAAGAGUCUCUUACGCUUUGGCUCUCUCCCACUCUAACCUCUUUAAAAGUUAAAUACAUUUCCAGUACUAUGCAUAUUGUAGAUACUCAAUAAAUAUUUGUGGUUAAUAAGUUAAGCAAAAUAGGGGCACCUUGGUGGCUCAGUCGGUUGAGUGUUCAAUUCUUGAUUUUGGCUCAGGUCAUGAUCCCAGAGUCUUGGGAUCUGGCUCUACACUGAAUGUGGAGCCCGCUUAAGAUUUUCUCUUUCUUGCUGUCUCCCUCCCUUCCCCACUGCCCCUCUCCCCAGCUCACAUGCUCUCUCUUUCUCUCCCUAAAAAAAAAUUAAAAAAAUAAUUCAAGCAAAAUAUAUUUUUUGAUGGUUCAAAAUCAAGUGGCUUCUCUCAGUUAAUUAUCAGAUUGUUUUCUAAUUAUAUUACUCAAUCUUGCCUAAGCUGUUAUAUAAAUAGUAAACUUAGGUGGAAUCAGCUUUUAUGUAUAGGUUAGCUAUCUUUGGUGGCUUUUUGUCUGAAGCCUCAUAUAAAUACAUACUUCAAAGCCUACAUAUUGUGUACAAAAUAGAAACAAAAGUUAAUUUUAUAAUUUAUCUAUUUAUAGUGACUUUAGUCAGGCUUUAGGGACACAAAGAUGAUUUAACACACUAGCUGGUAUUUAAGGAACAUCCAUGAUGAGGAGAAUCAACAUAUGAACAAAAAAGUGAAACAGAAUGUAAUAAAUUUGGUGAAAAAGAAUGGCAUAGAGGUAUCUACUCUAAUAUAGCAAGGGUUGGUUUCCUGGAGGAGAGAGACCCCAAACAUAAAUGAUGGAUGUGUGCUAACCAGCAGAAUGGAGACAAGAGAGGAGCAAGAGGGUGCAUCUAGUUGGGGAAAAAAGACAUGAAGAAAUACUAAGAAGUAUUAAUCAGCAUUUCUUUGCAGGAAAACUGCAGAAAACUGCAGCUACUUUCCUGUCUUGGUGCAUAGAAUGGAAGGCGUAAUCAUCUCAUUCAUUAUUAGAAAUAUGAUUUUGAGGCGGGGCACCUGGGUGCUUUAAUCGGUUAAGCAUCUGACUCUUGGUUUCAGCUCAGGUCAUGAUCUUAUGGUUUGUGAGAUCGAACCCCUGUGCUGACAGCAUGGAGCCUGCUUGGGAUUCUCACUUUCUCCCUCUCUCUCUACCCCUUUCCCACUCGUUCUCUCUCUCUCCCUCCCUCUCUCUCAAUAAAUAAAUAAACUUAAAAAAAAAGAAAUGUGAUUUUUUUAGACAAUUUAUUGAUUGAUUAUUUAUAAAUUCUGUAUUUAAUAGUAGUAGAGAUAACAGAUAAAGAUUAUUAUUUUUUUCCUUUAGCCAUUAAAAAGCUGACUUGUGGGCGCCUGGGUGGCGCAGUCGGUUAAGCGUCCGACUUCAGCCAGGUCACGAUCUCGCGGUCCAUGGGUUCGAGCCCCGCGUCAGGCUCUGGGCUGAUGGCUCAGAGCCUGGAGCCUGUUUCCGAUUCUGUGUGUGUCUCUCUCUCUCUGCCCCUCCCCCGUUCAUGCUCUGUCUCUCUCUGUCCCAAAAAUAAAUAAAAAACGUUGAAAAAAAAAUAAAAAAAUAAAAAAAAAGCUGACUUGUGAAGUGAUGAAGAAACAUAGAACCAUCGUUGAGAUAGGAGGUAGAGUCAAGUGAGGAUGUUUGUGUUAUUUUAUUUUCAAAUGACAGAAUGGGAUGUUUAUAGCCUGAAAGAAAGUGUCCCAGGGACAGAGAGAUCUUGAAAAUACAGAAAGAAAGGGCAAUGGUGAUUGACCAGCAUAUAGAAAGGCACAGUUUUGGUGUAAAGGUAGAGAUUAGCCUCGAAGAGAUGAGGGGAUAUUACAUCUUUGACACUAGAUGCAAGGAUGCAAAGAUACAGAUGUAACUUCAGGUGAAAGCAGUCUGUUGAGGGUCCCAGAGGUGGGAGUGGAAGGUUGGGAUAGUUCAUGCUUGAUACAUCAACUAUUUUUAUUGCCUCAAUUAUUUUAUUUUUUAAAUAUUUAUUUUUGAGAAAGAGAGAGACAAAGCAUGAGUGGGGGAGGGUCAGAGAGAGAGGUAGACAGAAUCUGAAACAGGCUCCAGGCUCUGAGCUGUCAGCACAGAGCCUGACGCAGGGCUUGAACCCACAAACCACAAGAUCAUGACCUGAGCCCAAGUAGGGCUCUCAAACAACUGAGCUGCCCAGGCGCCCCUAUUGCCUACAUUAUUUUAAUGCUUAGUUACUUGAAUGCAUCAAUGUAAUUCAAUACAAAAUUAAUUUAAUGUAAUGUAAUUAAUUAAAUUACAUAUCUUGGACUGUCCCUCGAGACUAUUCUAACUGUUGCUCUGUUUGUGCUAACAUGAUGAAGAUUAAAUUAUCAGUAAAUUAUUUGUUUUGAGAACGUUGGUUCAAUGUCAGAGAGUUGCUCAAAAUGCUUCUGCAUGAUGAUGCAUAAUGUUUCUUUUCCCAACUGGGUGACGUGCUGUUCUUUUGGGUAGUCAGCUUCAACUUUCUGUCAGUCCCUAACUACCCCUACCUGCCCUCACUGCAUGUUACUAGAUCCCAAUGAUAAAAGAGAUUCACUUUCUCAGAGGUAAGGCUAGGGUUUUCUGUACUGGCCAGUGAUCUAUAUUCAGUUGACAUUUGUUUGUAGAGUUUUCUGCUUCUAUAAGUAAUAUCACACUAUAGGUAGGACUGUACAGUUCACAAAGUACAUUUACUCAUUUGAUGCACACAUAAAACCCAAGUACCUUCGCUUGCAGAUGAGAAAACUGAGACUCACAACAGAUAACAGAUAAAUAAUGCAGUGGAUUUUGGACAGGGCUAUAGAACUUAGGUUUUCUCACUCCUGAUCCAUGGCUCUUUCAAUUGUAUCUUAUAGAAAGGAGAAAAGGAAGGGAGUGAGACAGCUUUAGUCAACAAGAAAAGCACCCCACCCUAUAUGGAAAUCAUUUUUGUUUAGUGCUGGAUUCUUAGAGACCUCAGUGAGACCAAACCUGUGGCAGGCAAUGAUUAGGGGAAGUAUUAUUCGAUCUUGAAGAAGUUUAGAUUUUUUUUUUUUUUUUUUUUUAGAUUUUAUUUUUUUCAGACAUGGAAGUUGGGGAUUUUCAUGGAGACCUAUAAUGAGGAAAUAACCAAGCGACUUUUAAUUUACCCAACUAAAAAUGUUACUUGAGAUGAAAUAGGAAACCUUGUAAGCAGGAGUCUGCAUAGAGAUGAAAACAGAUGUAAUCACAAGAUGUGCUAUCGGGUAAGAGCCAAAAAUGACUUUUGGAAAGAAAAAAAAUAUGCGGGUUUAGCACUCAGUGAGACACCUCUAAUUAUUAGGCUUUCUGUCCUGGCUUUAUAUACUCCAUUUAUUAUAAAAUUAAUUUUAAAAAGUCACUGGCCAGAUAUUAUUGUGUGCUCACUCCCUCAGAGUCUGGAUUCUAAGCGCCAGGUCAGACACUAGAAGUAGAAAGAAAAAUAAGAAAUGGUCUUCUUACUUACAGAGUCCCAAUAUGGGAGAUACAACCAGCUGUAAAACUUUGUAAAGAGAACUGAUAGAUAGGUAACAGCAUGCAUGCAUAUCUGCCUACGCUGGUAUAUAAAUUAGUUAAAAUCUAUAAAAACCAGACAUCUGCUAGGGGAGCUUGGGUAGCUCAGUCAGUUAAGCAUCUGACUUUGGCUCAGGUCUUGAUCUAACUGUUUGUGAGUUUGAGCACUACAUUGGGCUCUCCACUCUCAGUGUAGAGCCCGCUUUGGAUCUUUUGUCUCUCUCUCUCCCUGCCCCUAUGCUGCUCUCUCUCUCUCUCUCUGUCAAAAUAAAAACAAAGCAGAAUUUGCACCAAACGUUUUCGGUAGAAGGAUCUCCAGUGAAAAUGUUUAUUUGCUAAGAAAAUGUUUUCCUCCUUCUGGGUUGCCUAGGUGGCGUCUGGGUGGUGUCUGGGUGGCGUCUGACUCUUGAUUUUAGCUCAGGUCAUGAUCUCCUGGUUGUGAGAUUAACCACCUCCCCCCCCCCCCCCGCCACUCCCCAGUCUGGCUCUGUGCUGACAGUGAGGGAUUCUCUCUUUCCCUCUCUCUCUGCCACUCCCCACUCACACUCUCUCAGUCUCUCUCUCAAAAUAAAUAAAUAAACAUUAAAAAAGAAAGAAUUUGAAAAAUAAAGUUACUCAUGAGAGAUUUAGCAAUAAAAACUUGAUUUCUCCUUUAAAAAAAUGAAAAUAUUUUCUUCCUUCUGUAGUGACAUUUUUUAUCAUAAUAUUUUUUCACCAUUCCAUGAAGGUAGUUACAAAUCAGUUAAAAAUUUAAUCACCUGCAGAAAUGUUUUACAUUUGUGUAAAUGCUGCCCAUUGAUAAUCUAUAAUAACAAAUAUUUGACUUAUGUGUACUAAGCCAUGUACUAUAGUUACUUAAUCUAUGUAUUUAGUAACAAAUUCAGAACUAGAAGUGUAAAUGCUGCCCAUUGAUAAUUAAUCAAACUAUAGUAACAAAUAUUUGAUUUCUGUGUACCAAGUCAUGUGCUAUAUGGUGUACUCAACUUACAUAGUUAGUUAGUAGUAAAUUCAGAACUCGAAGCUGUGGUUCCUAACCUUAGGAAGUUUCUAAUGUAGUUUCAAAGUAAACAUUUGAAAUAAUUAAGCUAAGAAAUAGGAUAUAUAAGCACUGAACACAAAUACAUUAAUUUUUGAAAAUAAGCCUGGAGUAAAUUUAGGAAAGGGAAGUGUUGGCUAGAGCUUUUACAAAAUGAGAGGUUUCAGAGAGGAGGCAGGCAGGAGAAUAGGGUGUUGUGAAAGCCAACAGAAAGGUUCUUAGAGUAACUGUAAUUGUGUCACAGAGGUCCGAGGGAAGGGUGAAGGAAGAAAGGUAGGGAACCAGGCAGUAUGGAGUUUUCUGAUGACCUUUGAGAGAAUAGUUGUCCAAAUAGUUAGGAACCAAAACAAAAUUUGCAGAGGUUAGACUUCUUAUACAUUCUAAUAUAUUGAUUUCUGAACUAAUUUCAUAUAGUAGUUAUUUAAGUCAUAUAUUGAAAUAAAAUUCUAAUCAGCUAAUUUAUUUCUUUACCAUUUUCUUUCUGUUUUUUAAGUUCUAUACUUUUUCUAAAGGACUUACUGGAUAUUAUUAAUGAAAUGAAGUGUCCAGUCUGUUGGUGUUCCCAUAAUGUUAAUAUCUUUAGUGCUAAGAAAUAAUUUGUAGUGCUGAUGAGGUACUGUACAAAAGUAGAGGACUGUGAUCAAUGGGCUAUACUUGAAAAUUACAUAAAAUCCUUCUUGGGUUGAUGAUAUUUAAUCUAUAUGUGAUAAGAAUACUUGUUUUAAACUAACACAAAUUUCCAUAGAUUCGUCAAUAAAGUCAUUACUAUGGAGUAAGUCAAUGCACAUACCUUCAGUAUUACCAUGCAGAUUCUCAGAGAUCCUCCUAUUAAUUACUGACAUGAUUACCUAAAAACUGUGGCUUUCUAAUUAAAGUUCAACAAGCAUUUUGUUGGACAUGUGUUCAGGUAUUGUGCAAGGCUAUGGGAAUACCACAGUUUGAGACACAUUCGUUAUUCUCAUUGAAUUCAUAGUCAAGAGAGAGAGGGAAAACCAGCAUAUAGAAUGUGAAUGUUUUAAAAAUUAAGUUGUCACAAACUUUUUUUCUUAGUUAGAUAAAGAAAUAGUCACAUAUUAUAGUUAAUAUCAGAUGAAAAGUUUAUUAUUUCAGCGAUUUCAUUGAUGGUAGAAUGGUAAGUUGUUUCUUCAAACCAGGAUGUACCAGGGAGAAUAGGGCAUUUUGACCAAAGUCUUGGCAAAGUUUUAUUUCAGACAAGAAUACCACAAAACAUUUAGUUCACUGAAGAAUUAGCCCACAUUUUAUUUUUUGUCAUUAAAAGCACAUUACAUUCCAAAUUUUCUGUUACUGGUACAUGUGAAAUCCACUUUGAAGUAGACAAUAGUCUGGGUUGGGGUUCUAUGUUGCCUGUUCUGCCCAGUCAUUGUUGGCAAAGUGGUACAAGUGUCACUUCUAGUGGGAGAAGAUAGCAGAAUCCUGUGUGAUUAUUGUCCAGGAUGAAUGAUAAAAUUAUAUUUCUGUUCUUUUUGGACCUUUUUUCAAAUGUCUUUAACAUGCUCGAAUUAGUCAAUGAAUAUUUUAAAUUUUUCUGUACCACUGUUGCGGGCUUUUUUCCUUUUGUUUUGGGUUAAAUCUCUAGAUGUGUUAUUAUUUGCAUAUGCUUUGGUAAACACAGAAGAAACAAUUUUUUUUAAGUUACUAAAUUAGUACUGCUUUUAAUGUGAUUUAAUAGUUGUUUGUAUUUACAUCUUUAUAUACACACACUAUAUAUAUAUAUGGAGGAGAGAGAGAGAGAUCUGUAUAUAUUUGUAUAUAAUUUUCAUUAAACGGUACAGAAUGUUUAACUGCUUGCUUCAUUAUAGCCUGAGUGCUGAGUGCUGUCCACUGGGGAGAUGGAUGAAAAAUAUACAAGGUGGUCAGAGCCAUUACAUAGUCAUAUUAACAGUUGCCUCGGCUGAAUUUCCAUUUUGUUACCAGAUGUUAUAUUUUAGCUACCAUGGCAACUAAUCCUCAAUCAUAUUUUCACUAUUUUAUUGCAAAUUAUUAGAGUAACUUAAUAGAGCAUAUGCUUAUUAUAUUCCCUGGUGUAAAUUAAUACUGGAUUUUGUUCUAGCUGUUUUGGAAGUUUCAGAUGAUAAUGUAAUUUUACACUGUCAGUUUAAUGGAAUCUAUUCUUAGAUAACAGAUUGAAAUAUUUGGUACAAAAAUAUAGUUGGGACACAUCAAUAUAUAUCUUGGGAUAUACAAAAAUUACAUUAUUUUUUUCUAUUAAUGCAUCAAUGUGUGAUAACAUUCUGCUUAUUUAAUGCAUAUGUCUCACUGGGGCAGUCUCUAACAAAGCAAAAUAACCAGACUCUUACAGAAUUAAUAUAUGAGGGUGAGGCCAUCAAUACAUCUCAGAAAACUGAGCAUAUUUGAAAGUUCCAAGUCUUGACAAGUCCUUGUGAAAAGGAAAUAUGUUGAAAAGAAGACACAAUAUGUUGGCUUGUUUCCGAUAUAAUAUAUAUUAUAAUUUUAUGGUGUUUUUUAUUCUUUUAAAGUCCUAUGGUCUUCAAAAUCCAUAGCCAAAAAUUGUUUCCCUAAAAAAGGAAAGUUAAAAUUCAUUUAUUUAACAAAUAUUUAUUGAGUGUAAUGUGACAGACACAUUCCUGAGUUCCGGGGAUACAACAGUGAAUAGGCUUCUGACCACAUGGAACAGGAAUUCUCCUGCAGGGUAUGGCUGGCAAAUAAGAGCCGUCCAAAGAUGCCUGAGUUCUAAUCCCUGUAACCCAUGGAUGUGUUACCUCAGACAGCAAGGGAUAAUUAAGUUUACAGAUGGUAUUGUGGAGACUAAUUAGCUGACUUUAAGAGAGAGAGAUUAAGCUGCGUUAACUGGGUGGGCCCAAUGCAAUCAGAAGGAGGCGGAAAAGAUGCAGUUGCAAAAGAUGUGACGAUGAAAGCAGGGAUCAGAGUCAGAGAGAGAGAUUUGAAUAUGCUACUCGGCUGGUUAUGAAAAUUAAGGCUGGGUCCACGUGUCAAGGAAUGCAAGGAGCCUCUGGAAGCAGGAAAAGGCAAAGUGAAUGGAUUCCCUUCUAGGACGUCUAGAGAGAGAGCAGCCGUGAGGACACCUUGAUUUUAGCCCAUUGUAUCUCAUUUCAGACUUCUGACCUCUAGAACUGUAAGAUAACAAAUCUGUGUUGUUUGUCACAACCGCAGUAAGAAACUAAUACAACAUGAAAGAGGAAGAGGGAAUUGGCUGGAAGAACCAGAGAAACAGCAGUGCGAGAUGGACUGCCUAAUGUCACUGGCUUUGAAGCUGGGAUGCGACAAGGAGCCAAGGAAUGUAGGCCACCUCUAGAAGCUGACAAAAGCAAUGCAAUUAAUUACCCCACUAAAGCCCAUGGGAGGAAUGCCAACCCCUUGAUUUUAGCCAGUGAGACUCAUUUGGGACUUUUAACCUCCAGAACUUUAAGAUAAAAAAUCGGUGUUGUCUUUAAGCCACUAAGUCUGUGAUAGUUUGUUAAAAGAAACAAUUGAAAAUCAAGACAACAGGAUAAGACAAUAUAUAAACAAAAUAUUUCUUUAAAAAAUAGAUAAUUUUUGAUAAUAAUUGGCAUAAAGGAGUUAAAACAGAGUAGGGUUCUGGAGUUCUGUGGUCCAGUAUAAUAUAUACUAACCACUUGUAGCUAUUUAAAUUAAAUUAAACUAAAAUUAAUUAAAAUCUAAGGGCUAUCAGUGUGGCUAGUGACUACUGUAUGGGAUAGUGUAGAUGGUAGAACAUUUCCGUCAUCACAGAAGAUUCUCUUGGAUAGUGCUGUUCUGGAGAGUGGCACUACUUUGCAUAAGGCAGAUUCAGUUUGUGUGAAGAUCUGAAUGAUAAGAGGGAAUUGGGCAUGUGAAGGGCCAUGGGAGGGGCACUGCAGGUUGAAGGAGCAAAACGCAAAGCCAUAAGUGCCUGGUCAUUUUGUGGAACUGAUUAACCCGGGCAAAAACACAACUCACAUCAAUGGAAGAAGCGAAAGUAGGAGUCAUGAAUUGUGGUUCACCCAGCAAAUGAGGUUCAUCUCUAGUAAACUUUAAGUCCUGCUACUAAUAAGUCUUGAACUAGAACUUUAUCUUGAUAGUACAUGUUUUUUGUUGUUGCUAUAUAUUCAUUUCACUGUUCUUUUGCAGUUUACAUUAGUGUACUGACUUUCAAUGAUCAUGUCUUAUGUACUAAAAAAGAAAAGAGUUUCUGGGAUGGUUGUUUCCUUUAAGGAAUCCAGAGAAUUUGUGUGUGUGUGUGUGUGUGUGUGUGUGUGUGUGUGUGUGUGUGCGUGCGCGUGUGUGUGUGCUCACGCGUGUGCUUUUUUGAGUGUUUGAUCAUUUGUUUUAAUUUUUUCCUUUUAAACUCUUUUACUUCAGGAUGUUAUAACACUGAUCCAUAAAAUAUGUAAUUAUUAACGUGAUAGAAAGUGCCAGAGUUUGCAGUCAGUGGGUUCCAAUAUAACCAGGGAAUAUUGGAAAGCUGUUACUCAAAGGUAAUGUGGAAUCUCAGGGGGUCUAUAUGGGAACUACCUUUUAAGGCAAAUGCAUCUUACCGGUGAAAGUGAUGGAAGAUGAUUUCCAGAUGUUGAAAUGCUUGUUUUGGCAACUGCUACAGAAAACUGAAGCACGUCUUGCCAGAACAACCAGAAGGGAUGUGAAGCACUGAUGUAAGAGGGAUCAGGCACACAGCAAGCAAAGCAAGCAGAACCCAGAAAGUGUAGAUACAGGGAAGAUAGUUGAGCCAAGAAAACAAGAUCUGGAACUCCAGUUAGUUGCAUGUAGUGAAAGCAUGUUUGCUUCUGUCGUGGGAUCCACACACAUGCUUACCACUGCUAUACACUCCACUUACCCCUUCCUCUACCUUCAUUAUCUUUCCUGUAAAAAUUGAUGUUAAUAUUUUAAUCAGGGAAACUCUUCCCAGCUAAUUUGUUUGUUAGAUAUUAUGGGGUUCGUAAAGCAUGCAUGGCUGGAGUUAAACAUGUUUGUCUUCAAAUCCUGGGUUCAUUAUUUACUGCCAGGGUGACCUUGACUGAAUUGCUUAACCCCUAAACGGUCCAAUUUUUUCAUCUAUAGAAGGGAGGUUAUAAUUUCAUUGCCAAAGUCCUAUUGUGAGAAUCAAAUGAAAUAAUGUAUGUGAAGUACACACAUAAAUAAAUUUCUCCUCCUAUCUGCGCCCGCCCCCCCCACUGGCAACAAACCUCCAGAAUUCACAUGUUUUUGUCCAGUUAGGAAAAACAUUUUCAGAAGACAUCUGAGAAUUGAAUAUAAUGUUGGCAGACUCAUAGAUCAGAUAUUUUUAGCCAGGUUGGCUUUUUCUAAGCUCUUGUAAUAGAAUCACAUAGGCAGCCAGGUAUUCUGUCUACAUAUCAGGCAUUCCUUUGGGAUUGUUUCCUAAAAGGUGAAGAAAAUAGGAAAAUAAACAUCCAUCCUCAUUGGAGUAUUUCCUUUUACACACCAGAUGUCCAUUGUGCUUCUUUUACUCCAAUAUUUUUUUAACCUGUGUGUUGACUUUAAAAAGUAGACUGUUAAUUGUCAUCCCAAACUAGUCAACCAGUUCCAAGCAGUUCAAGAUAAUGAAAUUUGCCAUCUGCCACCAUAUCUUGGUGAGAUCUUGGACUUUCAUUUCUAAAUAAUUUUGAUUUCUCCCCUUCCCUCUAUCACAUUCUCUUCACUAGAUCUUUUCUGAAAUAGAGAUUUUUUUUUUUUCCCAAUCUCUGUGCUAAACCUGGUCCCAGACCAGAAAAGGCCAGAUUCUUCCAAAAGGCCAGCCUCUGCAAGAGUUGGAACCUAAAAACCUAAUUCAUACUCCAACUAUUUUCCCAAGGGGUGGAGUAACGGGAGCCAGGAUAACAGGAAGAGAUCCUGUGGGGAAUUAGCUCAUUCCACACCUGGACAUCUGGCCGUGUUCCACUGUGAAUUUGCUGGGGAAGCUUUGAAGUCUAAAUUUUGAAUUGAGCUACAUUGUGUUUUGAUCUGCUUGCCACUUCAAAUUAGCACAUUAGUUGCCCUGCCCUUUGUCAUCCUAAUUUCUCUGAAGAAGCAUCACAGAGAUACAAUUCAGAAUUUUUGGUAUCAUGACUUCAUCAUAGAAUGCUGACCUUGCCUAUUAUUAUACUUGGAAUUAGAAGUUUUUAGCAUAAAUCCUAGCUCCUCCACCUACUAGUUGCAUGAUCUUCUAUUUUGAAUCAUGCACAUUGACCUCAGGACCUCACAUCUAUAAAACAUAGAGGAUAUAAAAUACUUGUUCUGACUACUUUAUAGUGUAUGACGAUUGAAUGAAUCAUGUGCGUCAAAGUACAUAAAACAGAGUAGAUGACUCUCAUCUCAGUUCUCUGAAGUUUUGAAUUAAUCUGUCCACAUUGCAUUGUAAUUACUUGACUCUCUCUCCUUAGUGACUAAAGGAGAGAUAAUUUUUUUUUCUGUGUAUUUGUGUCAACCCCAAUACCUAGCAUAUGCUUGGUCCAGGAGAGGUAUAUGGAACAUUCUUAUGAGUGGGGUCCCUGAUGUCUUGCUGCAACAAAUCCACAUCUCAGGCUACCUCCUUGUAUGUAAUUUUGAGCAAGACAAUUAACCUUACUAAGUCUUAAUUCCUUCAUCUGUAAAAUGGGAUGAGGGUCACUGCUUACCUAAUUCCUUUAUCAGAGAACACCUAAAGCAUUUAACCCAAUUCAUGGUAUGGAUUAAACUUACAAAAUUUCUUAGCUUUUGUUUAUUUGUUUGCUUGUUUGUUGAGAGAGAGCAUUAGCAGGGCAGGGGCAGAGAGAGAGGGAGAGACAGAAUCUUAAGCAGGUUCCACACUCAAUGUGGAGCCCAACACAGGGCUUGAUCUCUUGACUGUGAGAUCAUGACUUGAGCCAAAAUCAAGAGUCAGGGACUUAACCAACUGAGCUACCCAGGCACCCAGGUUUAUUUUUAUUAUAGGUACUCAAUACUUAAAAAAAAAAUGUGACCAAUGAGAUUUUCUGUAACCUAAUACAAAUUUUCUUCUAUACUAGAUGAUUAUGCUUUUUUUUUCUCCUAGAAGUUUGAAAACAGUUUUAUGCCUUGAAUUAUAAGGUUUUAUCUUUUUAAGGCUCUUCAGUAAACACUGAAUGGCAUUGUUUUCUUUUUAAUGUAAAUACUAGGAUCAUAGACCCAAGGAUACAGUUUUCAGAUGAACUUCAUAGUUGCAUGUUUUUUUAAAAAAACAAAAUGGCUUUUAAAAUAAAAAUGGCUUUUACGUCGUUUCUUACUAGGAUAUAGUUUUAUCAAAGCUAUUAAGAAGCAUGUAAGAUGUGUGCAGUCAGUUGAAAAACUCAGUUAUAGCAGAGCUUUGAAAAUAAUAGUAGAGAAUAAAACUUGAGAAGGUACUCUAGUGGUUUUGAAGUUAAGAACGUAUGAAAAAGGGACACCCGGGUGGCUCAGUCGGUUAAGUGUCCGACUCUUGGUUUUGGCUCGGGUCAUGAUCUCAGGGUUGAUGGGUUCGAGCCCUGAAUUGGGCCUCUGUGCUGAUAGUGUGGAGCCUGCUUGGAAUUCUCUCUCUCUCUCUCUCUCUCUCUCUCUCUCUCUCUCUCUCUCUGCCCCUCCCCUGGCUUCAGCACUCUCUCUCUGUCUCUGUCUCUUUCUCUUUCUCAAAAUGGAUAAAUAAACUUAAAAAAAAGAAUGUAAGGAAAAGUUAUAGAGGAAUAUAUGUUUUUAUGGUCUUUUAAUUUAAUUAAAACACACCUUGAUUUUAAGAUUUUAAUUUAAAUACAUGUUGGCAAUCCAUUGUGGAAGGAGAGUAAGCUAAGUGAUAUGGCAUUUUAUAAAAGCAAUGGCUAUAUGUCAGGUUUUUAUUUAAUUUGCAGGUUAUCUAGACCAUCACUUCUCUUUAAGCAUUUUACAUGCAUUCAUGUCUUUAGUCAUGGAUAUAAUAGAAAAUAAGACAAUCAAAACACAAUUAUUUUCAUUAUUGCUUUUCUUGAGAGGAUCUGUUAUCUAGAUUAUAAGUGUCUUCAGUCUGAAGAUUGCUUCAUUUGUCAUUAUGCCUUUAUUAUAUAUAAACAUAAAAUAAUUUUGGGACUGACUACAAUACCAUUUUCCAUAGAGUUCAUUUUAGUUUAAAGAAAGUAUGUUUUGGAAGUAUGUCCAGGGAAGAAUAUGAUAAUUCUUUUGUAAUUCAAAGGGUGAAGUGAUUGAGUUCAUAUCAGAGAAGAUAAGAAGGGAAGAUAACAAGGUAGGGUCCCUGUUAGUGUGUCUUAUAAAAUAUUUGAAGGGAUCUUCUGUGUAGAAAUGAAUUAGAUUUAUUUCUUAUAACUCUAACAGACCAAGGUAGCUCCGUGUAGUAGAAAGUGUAGGUAGGUCAAUUUUGGCUGCCAGGUAGUGCAUACAAUGUCGAUUAAAUUACAUUAAAGAGGACUCUGCUCAGUAUUUAUAUAUAGAAACCCUCUCUAAAAUGACAUGUGGAAUUCCCUAGGAAGAUCUUGGUAAUGAGUUGACUUAACUAAAAAUAGAAUGGGCUCCAAUCAAGGUGGUAAAUUUUCCAUCUCUGGAAGCAACCAAGCAGAGGCUUUAUAGUAGCUUAGGGAUGCUCAGAAGGAAUUCCUAAGAAAUUGGACUAAGUAACUUCUUGUUCUCUUCUGAUGAUUUGUGUAAAUGAAUUCAUGUUCAAGAAGCCAAAGACAAGCUCCAUAAGUUCAUUCCAGAAAAAAGAAUGGACAAUAGAGUUUUCAACAAAAAUCAUGGAACAUUUAUUAAAUAUAUGAAACUCUUUAUCUUUUAAAGAUUUUUUUUUUAAUGGAAGUGAUGAAAUCCAAGCCUGGUUUAUUUAUUUUUUUUAAUUUUUUUUAACGUUUAUUUUAUUUUUGAGACAGAGGGAGACAGAGCAUGAACGGGGGAGGGUCAGAGAGAGGGAGACACAGAAUCCAAAACAGGCUCCAGGCUCUGAGCUGUCAGCACAGAGCCCGACACGGGGCUUGAACUCACGAACCGCGAGAUCAUGACCUGAGCCGAAGUAGGCCGCUUAACCGACUGAGUCACCCAGGUGCCCCCCCAAGCCUGGUUUAGAUUAAAGUGAAAAAUAAUGGUAAACCACAGAGACAACUUACAUUUCAAAUUAACAUUUUACUCUUUGAAACCUUUUAUUUAUUUAUUUUUUAAUGUUUAUUUAUUUUGAGAGAGAGAGAGAGAGAGAGAGCGCACGAGCAUGAGUGGGGGAGGGACAGAGAGAGAGGGAGACAUAGAAUCUGAAACAGGCUCAGGGCUCUGAGCUGUCAGCAUACAACCCAAUGUGAGGCUUGAACUCACAAACUGUGAGAUCAUGACCUGAGCCAAAGUUGGAUCCUUAGCCAACUGAGCCACCCAGGCACCCCUUAAUCUUUGAGAACUUUUAUGGGUCUUUAAAAUUUGCAUCUUCAAAUAUUGUCCCAAAGAAUUCUAGUUGACUAAAUUUCAAAUAGACACCCCUUCUGUGCACUGUGUCUCAAGGAUUUUUAUAUUGACCUAACAGAAUGAGAUUUGUGUUUGUGGCCUUAUAUGUGACAAUUAGCAUGAACUCUGUUCACUUCCUUUGCUGUUACUUGUCAUCUGAGAACAUUUUGGAUGUAAUUUAUUGCCUGUUAAGCCAUCUCCAAAGUACAAUUGUAAAAUAGGAAACAAUCACAACCGUUUAGUGGCUAAACAAUUGCUUGCUUUCAUUUGACCUUGCUGUGUUCUGUGAGUCUGUUAGUUUGAUUCCUGGAGGCACACAGAUUGUUCAGGAAUGUUUGCCAGUAAUGAGUGAGGGCUAGUUUUCCAUAUUGACCUCAUACAUAAUUACAUAAAUUAAAGCAAACCAUAACAACUGAGGAUACACAUAAAAUAUACUUCACAGAGGGAUUUUAAAGCCCUUGCUUUGCACUAAGCUUGAAAUUACAUAGCCAUAUAGGACAUAUAUCAUUUUUGAAAAGUGUAUGUUUUCAGUUUCUACUAAGACUUUACAAAGAACACUGAAUAAAAGGUUCUAUUUUAAUAAGUGUUACCAUGGAGUUUUUUUCUCUAGAAAAAUUGUUUAUGGAAAAAGAAUAUUGGUAUAGAAGGUCACAUUUUAUUCUGGAGGUUAAUGAUUUGAUAAUGGAAUUUUCUAAUGCUAACCUUCCAAACUAUCUUGAAACCACUAAAUACUUAAGAAGCAAAGGGGAAAUGUAGAGUGUAGAUCUUAACUCACUAAAAAAAUCAGUCAUUUUUAAGCAUUUAUAGUUUCUUCAUUUUCUGCAUUUUCAGAAUAUGUUGAUAUUUAGCCAAGUCUAAUUUAAUUUUGUAAUCAACCUUUAUCAUGUGUAAUUUGGGUUUUGUUUUUUUUUUUUUUUGGUUAAUAGUGUGGUGGAUUAUUAUUUUUUAACAUAAAGUAUUACAUUUGUUUUGAUUCUGUUAGACUUCUGCCAAUGAAAUUGCAUUUCAUGUGGCUAUUAAAAGUAUCAUAGACUUUCAGAAAUAAAUGGAAUUUAGAUCCAAUAUCAAGUAUAUUAGUAAAUAUUUCACAUUAGGGAAAGCCAAAAACUUUAGUAAUCAAUCAAAUAUUGUUACAAGGUUAUUAAUCAGCAAGUAUUACUGCAUUUAUUUCACUUCUAAAACAGUCUUGUUUGAAGUUUGUAGAAAUUUAGUUCUAGUUGUUUUCAUCACUAGCUUCUGAAGAUGUAACGGUGAGAAAAUCUUCACAAAAAUUUAGUAUCAACUUUUCUUUUUGAUAAAAAGAGAGUGAAAUUGCCUUGAUGGAGGGAUAACAUUUUCCAUUAUUUCCAACGUUUAUAGAGUGCAAUCAGUAUUUCUUAUAGAAAACCAUAUCACAAUUAAAAUUAGCUUAAUUAGCAUUCACAUAUCUUUGGUAUUUCAUCUUUGAUUAAGGCCAUGGUCUGUAUGAACUAGUAAUCUGUAUGUAGGAUCAAGUUUGUGCAGUGAAGAUUCUUUGCAAAAAAAUGAAGACUCAGCUAAAUCUAUGAUUCUAGAAUAUGUAAGGGUAAAAGACUUUUAAAAGUAUUCCUAAGUAUCUUACACCUUGUCUACUAUUCCUAGGUUUAGCUAAAUCUUGGUUUUUGCGGUAUUUUAUAAUUUUCUAGCAUCAUAUUGGAGAGUGGUAUGGAUUUUGUUUAAUACCAACUCUAUAAUGUUCUUUUCUUUUUAAUCCUCUAUUUACAUCUUUCCAGUCUCUGUUUACACCCUCCAAGACUUAGUAUAUUUUGCUGGCCUAUCACACUCUUCUUGAUCUCAUCUUCUCAGCCUGGAAGCCCCACAUCUUCUCUGUGGAUUUAUUCAGAUAGCUUACCUGCCUUGGAUCUGUGCCUGUCCCUCACUGGAUUCUUUCUUUAUUGAUAUUUCCUUAGAUGUGACAACCCAAGUCCCAUGACAUAUUCUACGCUCAGCUAUUUAUGACUGUAAAGUAUCAGAUACUACUUUACUUGUAUACUUUUCUCUCUUCACAAAUAUGUUGGCUUUUUAAACUAGCUUCUUGCUGGACUAUCUUAAGGAUGGACUAUGCAGAACUCAGAUUAUUUUUCUGAGUCUUUCCCAUCAUAAUGUAGCUUGUCAUCUAAGGGAAGUUUGGAUCUCCCAGCCCCCACAUGGAUAGAAAUUUAUUUUUGUGCAAAUAUAUUUUCCACAAAGAAGUUCAUUAGUCCUUUAUCUAUCUACCAAGAGCAUCAUGGAACUUUUUUAUGAUAAUCACUCACAAUUUGGUUUUUUAAUUCCUAGAAGAGUUUAGGAUUGUCCAGGAGUGAUUCUAAGGAUUUGUGAUAAAAUGUUCAAGAAAUUUCCUAGCAGCUCAUUUGAUAGAGGAACAGAAAGUACCAGAGAGGAGAUAAAUCUUCUCCUUCUCCUCCCCACUCCUUCCUCUUCUCCUCUCAUUGCCUUACUCAUGAGACAUUGCUGGGGUGCUGGAAUUUUGGGGGAGUCUUAUGGUCAGACUCAAAGGUAAAAAUCUCUCUGAUGUUAUCUAUAAGUCCAGAGAAUUUUGUAGGCACUGCUUUUUCUAGAGAAGUUAUAACACUCUACUCCCUGGAAGGUUCCAACAUUUGAACUUCUCUACGUGAAGAAGUACUUAAUUGGCCCUAUUUUUUGUUUCCUGACUCUAGGCUGACACCUUAUGCAUGUCAAAACAUCUUCCUAAAUCCCAUGGUGACUCAACAUUCAAGUAGUUUUGGUCUGACCUUGUCAGAGAACUUUUGAAAAUAUAAAUAAAUUAUAUUCACCAAUUGUCUUCUGUCUAAAUACUUACUUUGCUUGACAACUCUAAUAGGUUAGUCAAGCAUCAUUUCCUCUUUUAGGACCAUUCCCAGUGAGUUCUGUUGUAUUAAGAACAUAGUUAUCCCCCACUUUAUAACAGAGUCCAUUGAAUUGACUGGGUGAAAUGAGUCUUAGAUUUUCAAGGUCUUCAAUGGAUUCUGGAAUGAGGGUCAUGUUGACAAUUUACCUUUUCUGGCUUGGUGUAAUUUGUUAUUGACAGAUAACAUGCCUUGAUUCCCUAUUCACUUUUAAGUUCUUUCAUAAUUUUUUUUUGUAGAUGCUAUUGCCUCAUAGAUGUUUACCUGGGCCAGAUUUUCUAAGGAAUAAAACAAUGCAUUUUUGGCAAUUUGAAUUCAGUACCUGUGGCAUGCCUACUUCAAUAUACAGUAAAGUUUUGAAAUCUUCAAAUGAAUAAACCAAAAUAGAAAAUAACUAAACAUUAUUUGAGUAUUACUCCAAUGUAUGAUUUUAUAUUUAGGAUUCCUAUGUAUUCUGGACUUGGAUUCCUUCUUCUCUUUGACAUUUUUAAGGAUUCUUUUCAUUAUUGUCCUUGAAUUUUCUUAUAAGAUAGUUUCACAAAUAUUUUUCUGGUCGGCUUAAUUUCUAAUUGUAUCUGAUCUGUCACCUUUAAGAAGUUCCCCUUUUUCCCUUUGAUUUGGAAAUCUUUACAAUUUAUGCCUAUUACUCUCUGUGAAGUCAGCUUUUACUGUAACAUUUUGCUGUGAAAGCAUCUUUUUUUUUUUUUGCAUCUGGCUUGUUUUUAUGAUUCAUGACAAAAAAUUCAUCUUGGGCUUCUAAUGGUGUAUUUUAAAAUAGUCUCCAGAAUUUCUGUGGUUUAUUUUGUUUUAAACUAUUCCUUUUUACUUUUUUAUAAUGACCACAUUUUCCUAAGCUCCCUUUCCUAAAAUUAAAUGAUUUAUAUAGCAUUCCUUCUUUUACCCAAAUGCCAAGUUGAAUUGUUGUAAAUAAUUAGUAGACAGAAAUAAGCACCCAUGAUACAGCCGGCAUCAAUUCCUGCUCAAAUCUGUCUAGAUGCUUAAAAUUCAAUUUUAGCAAGCAGAUGUCUGUAAUGGCCUGUAUUUUUGCAUUCCAGUAUGCAUACCAUCUGCCUUUGAGAUAAUGACAAUAUAAAUCCACAUUUUUAUUACUGUGUUAGAUAUUUCCACUUUCUUAAUUGUUGUAUACUGUUCUGAUUAUUUUUCUUAAAAUGGUUCCCUAUAGCAUUGAAUAAGGUUCAUUUUCUUUAGUUAACAGCCAGGGCCUUUAAUAAUUUGGUUCCUAAUUAUGCUAUCUUCACUUACUGCCCACAUGAAUGCUUUCUUUUCUUUCCCAGCAUAGUUCUUAAGUGGUAUCAUUUCACAAUUUUGUAUCUUCUCCAAGACCUUCCUAGAAUACCUUUACCCAUCUUCUUCAUUGCCCAUACAUAUUCAAAUCAGAUCAAGAUGUCUUCACUAUAAUCAAAAUGUUAGCUGUAGGCCACUUUCCAGUUAAAUUGCAUGUAACUUCCCUAAAUCCAUGAUCCUUUGCCUUCUGUGUAAUUCUACUGUCUUGACACAUGUGAUUCCAGAUGUGAGAGUCAGCACUUCACUCAUACACAAUAAAGGGCAUUCAUGCCAAGCCUGUGAAGAUUUAAUAAUUGAAUUGAAGAUUUAGGGUUCUAGACAAAGAUCACAUUAUUAAGGAAUAAGAUUUCAAUAUUUUCUUUCUCCAUCCUUCCUCACUCUUCUCUCUCUCCCCAUCUCUCUCUCUUUUUUCUCUCUCUGCCUCUAUAUCUCUACUCUCUUUUUUCUUCCUUAUCUUCAUUCUCAGAAAAAAAAACAAAACUUUUCUUUAUCUUAUAUAUUUUUGUAGCUUGAACUCACCUUUCUUACAGAAUUUCUCUGAUAGGCAACUUAGCAAAUAUAUAUUAUAUAUUUACAUAUAUUUAUAUUAUAUAUACAAAAUUUUACUUAUUUUUGAAGAGAGAGAGAGAGAGUCAGAGAGAGGGAGACAGAGAAUCCCAAGCAGGCUCCACACUGUCAGUGCAGAGCCCAAUGCAGGGCUUGAACUCAAAAACCGUGAGAUCAUGACCUGAGCUGAAAUCAACAGUCAGCUGCUUACAGAUUGAGCCACCCAGGCACCCCAGAAAAUAUAUUCUUUUCUUUAAAAUAUUGUACUUUUUCCAUAGAAAUUCUACUGAAUGAAAUCUUCUUUAGCUCAUUUAAUUUUUUAAAUGCCUACAAUGAUCUAGGUAAUGUAGUAGGCACUGAUUAUACAGUAGUGUAAGUGCAGAUAAACAUUUUGCCUUCAUAGAGUUCCUAAUUUAGUAUGUUAUCCAAGAAACUGUACAUAAUUACAAAUUAUUUGAUUUUGAUCCCCAGUUUGAUUUUUAUUUGGAUGCCACUCCUCUGGCUACCACAGCAUCUAGUACAUACUUCUAUUUCACAUGUAACCAUGUACUAUUGUAACUGAUUAUUUGUGAAUUGAUCUCCUCUAUUAGUCUGUAAAUCUCAAAGGAGGGAUGAUGUCUUAAUUCACUUUGUUUUCUUGGAGUUCAGUAUAAAACCUACAUAGUAUGCUAUAAAUAUUCAAUAUAAGUAUUCAAUAAAUAUUUGGGGUUGUAUGAAUGAAUCUUUUGUAUUUUCAGCUUAGUUGCAUGAUUUUAGUGAGCUAUAAUAUAUCUGCAUUACCAUAUUUUUACUAUUAAAUAGGAAACUCAGUGAACACUGCCAUGAACCUAUGGAAAAAUAUUAAACAAGAAAAAGAUGCUCAAGGAAUAAGUUAUUCUUAAUUCCUGAUGUAAGUGAUUUUUUCACAUUAUUUUACUUAUUUAAGUAAGAUAUCUAUUAGAUGUAUGGUACCUGCAUAGUAUUGUAGUAUUUCUUUUUUUCCUUUCCUCUCCUCUCCUCUCCUCUCCUCUCCUCUCCUCUCCUCUUCUCUUCUCUUCUCUUCUCUUCUCUUCUCUUCUCUUCUCUUCUUUUUUCUUCUUUUUUCUUUUCUUUUCUUUUUUUCUGAGAGAGAGAGAAAGCACAAACAGGGGAGGGGCAGAGACAGAGAGAGAGAGAGAGAGAGAGGGAGAGAAUCCCAAGCAGGCUCCAUACUGUUAGUGCAGAGCUCAAAUGCACGAACUGUGAGAUCAUGACCUGAGCCGAAAUCAAGAGUCUGACACCCAACAGAUUGAGCCACUCAGGUGCUCCAAUAGUACCCAUGUAGUAUUUCUAAUGCUUUCUAUAUGCAAAAAUCCUUAUAUCCCCUUAUACACCACUUACUCAGAGUCUGGGGUAAGGAAGCACAUGGCUUCCAGUGUUCCAUAGUGUAGAGAUUUAAAAACAGUUCUACAAUGCUCUGAAGGUAAUGCUGUUUGUGGACUAGCAUUGAACUAGCAUUGAACACUAGCAAUGUGUUCAGCAUUCCAUGAGGUUCCAAACUCAAAGAAGAGCUAGUUCAGUAAGAGUAACAGUAGGGAAAUUGCGUGCUAAUGUACUCCAGGAGAUGAUGAAAUCUCUUAUCUUAUUAUUUUGGCAGUGCAGAGUUCCUCUUAUGUAGAAUGUAAUUUCCUUUCUAAAAGAAGAUGAGGCAUCUGUUCCUACUCAGAACCAAAUGGAGAAUUCUUCAUUCACAUCAGCAAGUCAGGGCUGCUCAGUACUCAAAUUGUACUUACCACUGAGGAUAUUCUACUCAUACAGACUAGAUAGUGUAUCUAGUGUUUCACAUUACUUGGAAUUUUAAGCACUUUCUCAUUUCUUAGGUUCAUUACAAUUAAAAAAAGCCUGAUAAAAAAUGUGUGUAUUUUUAAAAUUUAACAAGACGCCUCAUGGAAUUCAUCCAGUCAGAUUAUCUGAAAAAUGAUCAUAUAUAUUAUGUUUGGUCAUAUAUUUUCAUUUGGUCCCAAUCUUUCAGCACUGUGUAGUUACAACAAGGACAUUGCAGCCUACUGAGUCCUUAUGAAGCUAAGGAUAUAUUUAUAAAAUCACUGUACAGUUUUCUAAUUCAACAUUUAUAAUAAACAAGCACUGAUUAUUUGUUUUCCCUUCCUCUCCAUUAAGAAAACUGUUACUCAAAACAAAGCUUUUGCUGUCCUAACGAGGUGAACGUAAGCAAAUUCCCAACUAGGUACUUGCUUACUGAAACAGAGAUUCCUAUUUUUAAUCUGUAUCACAUUGCAUAUUCUUUAUUUAUCUAUCUUUUGAUUAUUUGAUUUGUUCAGAAAACCCUCAAGUGCUUUUGAGUUUACUGUUUUUAGAGGCUCAAGAGUCUUACAUCACAGCAACAUGCUUCAUACAGAGGAAGAAUGCCUUUGAGAGCCUGCACCCCUUUCCAUAACCAUCUGGUUUGCAGAUGAUAAAUACAAACACUAGGCUUUUUUUCUCUCCCCAAAGAUCUGGGAAACAGAUUGGACCUAAAAUUCUACCCUGUUGAUCCCUAAAAUAUUAAUCUUCAUUAUCAUGUCAAAUUUUUUAAGAAUUAAUUUCUUCAGCUAUAUGUUUUUAAAGAUUGAACACACAAUACAUGUGACAUUCCAUUUGUAGGACAUUUUCCAUGGUGCUGUAAUGUCUUCAUUCUUUUCUAUAGCCUAGCCACAUCUUACUCUAUUUUCAAAGGCUGGUUUAAGACUUGCUUCCCCUGUGAAGUUUUGGAGGGUUAAUCUAAUAUUCAUGCAUCUCUCUUUCAUUGCCUGGAGCACUGGUCUUCACACUGAAAUCAAAAUGUAUGUUGGUUUGAAUGUUUCAUGUGUGUGCUUUGGUUCUCCAAUAAGAGCUUAAGUCGUUUGAUAACAAGAUUUUUUUUUUUUUGUAAAGUAUAAGGCACAUAAUGGAUAUUCAGGCCCUAGUUGUUGAAUAAAGACUGCAUUAAUACCAUCAAAGAAGCCUCACUCUAAUACAGAAUGUGGAAGCGACUAUGUUAGGAAAAAAUUAAGUUAGGAAAAAUUCUACAUUGUGAAAUAUUAACCUCGACUACAGGGCCAAGUCUAGCCUUUACAUAGCUUUUGUAUGAAUUAGAGAAGGCAUCACCUCUCGGUGACCCUAGGCAAGUAGAUAGUAGUACAAGUUGUACAAGUAGUACACCUUGUGUACUACACCUUGCACCUUGUGCAAACAAAAAGGGCUUCCUUCUUCCAGUAGGUGCGGCCUUCAAACUAGGGCUUAUAGCGUGACAAGGGGAGCUUGGAAUGAAUGUCAGCUCCCACUGGCUCCCUCAGUUGGAGACUUUAUGAAGUGUACAAACUGCAAACAAUAUUCAGCAGCUCUCCAAAUAGUGGUACAGAUGAUGCAUGCAAGUAUAGGAAGCUUGGUAGUUUAGGAAGUACUUACUCUGUAUGGCAUACUCCAUGGCACAAAACUAGAGGCUAAGAACCCAGGGAAUAUUAUGGGUCACAAAUUGGGAGAGAGAUGUGAGAAAGAUUUAUGUAAGAAUCUAGGUUUUUAAUUAGCAUACAAAAUAACAUUUAAGAGAAUGAAUAGGCCAAUUCACAGACAGGUAAGGGGACAGCAGAUAAGGUCUGUAAGGUGUGAACAAUGAUCAGAAUGUAGAAAAUGACUCAAUUCUGAAGGUGUGGACAAAUUUGUUACUGGGACAGAGUGCAACUGAGGGCAACUGCUGAGGUUUGAGAAAGGUGACAUGGUUGGAGUGCCACUUAAGAAGACAGUUUUAGUAGCUGCAUUUAAAAUAGAUUUCAGGGUAGCAAUAGUAGAAAGAAAUCUGCCGGAUGUCUGUGAUCUUGAAAGUAGAAAGAAAGGGAAAUGAUCAAGGUGAAGUAUGGAGAGAAAUUUCUGGUUGACUCUAUGUGAGUAUAAAAUCUGAGGAUGAGUGCUCUGAAAGUUGAGGAAAUGGAUUGGAUAAUGAUUUAAGUUAUUAUUCCUUAAUGGAUAUUCAUGAACAUAACAAUUAUUAUUAUUAUUAUUUUGAGACUACAGUUUAUUGAGUUCUUAAUAAUAAGAACUCAAUUAUUAAACCUACAUACAGUGCAUCCUUACAAGUAAAGCAAGUACAUAGUGCUUAGGUGGCAUUCAAAAAUAUGAUCUCCUCAGCAUGGGUUUAAAGUAUUCUUUUUAGGAGCACCUGGGUGGCUCAGUCAGUUAAAGUAUCUGACUCUUGAUUUCAGCUCAGGUCAUGAUCUCAUGGUUCAUGAGUUCGAACCUUGCAUGGGGCUCUGCACUGACAGUGUGGAGCCUGCUUGGGAUUCUCUCUCUGCCUCUCUCUCUCUCUCCCACUCUCUAAAAAUAAAUAAACUUAAAAAGUAUUUUUUUAAUUGUAGGAUGAUUUAUUUUCCCUAAUUUAUAAACCAUUUAUGAUUAUAAGCUAACUUUAAAAAUUACAGUCUAAAGUUCUAUGAUCUAACAUAAGACAUUAGUCUUGAUGGUACAUGAGAUAAUUUUAGGUAGCAUAUAACAUUUUAUAUUUUGCAAGUUUUAUGUUUACAUGUAUAUUAGGAAAAACUAUAUAGUUUGUCAAAUCUCAGGUUUUUUUUAGAACUAAGUUUAAAGUUUUAAAGGUUAAAAAUGGAAGAGUCAACUUAAAAUAGAUUUUUUAAAAUUUUUUUUAUUUAAAAAUUUUUUAAAUGUUUUUAUUUAUUUUUGAGACAGAAAGAGACAGAGCAUGAGCAGGGGAGGGGCAAAGAGAGAAGGAGACACAGAAUCUGAAGCAGGCUCCAGGCUCUGAGCUGUCAGCACAGAGCCUGACACGGGGCUCGAACUCACGCACUGUGAGAUCAUGACCUGAGCUAAAGUCGGAUGCUUAACCGACUGAGCCACCCAGGUGCCCUAAAAUAGAUUUUAAUGGAAAAUACAUAGAAAUAAUGGUAUGUGGUAUGUACUAAUUUAGAAAAAUUAAAAUUAUGGUGAGCUUGCCAUAUGGAAAAUCCUAGUCUACAGUCUACUUGUGGAUUUUAGGCAUUUAUCUCAAAAAUCAGAAAAAAAGGAAUUUGCGAAUUAUAAAUGUUUAGACAUAUUUAGACAUAUUUAGUUGGAAAGUAGUAGAAAUAACUUUACUAUUUUGAAGAGAUUUUUGGUUUAAAGUUAUUUUCAACUAUCAAAAUGUAGUUGUUUUUUUUUUUAAUUUUUUUUAACGUUUAUUUAUUUUUGAGACAGAGAGAGACAGAGCAUGAACAGGGGAGGAGCAGAGAGAGAGGGAGACACAGAAUCGGAAACAGGCUCCAGGCUCUGAGCUGUCAGCACAGAGCCCGACGCGGGGCUCGAACUCACAGAGGGUGAGAUCAUGACCUGAGCCGAAGUCGGACGCUUAACCGACCAAGCCACCCAGGCGCCCCUCAAAAUGUAGUUUUAAUUUAAAUCUUAUAGAAGAGCUGUGGGUGGCUCAGUCGAUUGAGCAUCUGACUCUUUGAUUUUGUCUCAGGUCAUGAUCUCACAGUUUAUGAGUUCAAGUCCCAAGUAGGGCUCUGCAUUAACAGGUGGAGCCUGCUUGGGAUUCUGUCUCCCUCUCUCUCUCUGCCCUUCCCCUGCUCGCUCUCUCUCUCUCUCUCUCUCUCUCAAAAUAAAUAAAUAAACUUAAAAAGAUAAAUCUUUUAGACUAGUCUGCAUCUAUUCCAACUGCAGUUUGCCAAGUCUAUCCAAUGUUUUCAAUAUUUACAUAGGUAAGGGAAAAAUUACAUCAAAUUUAUAUUGUCACUUAGCAUAAGACCUAAGAGACUCCAGAAAAGAGUUCGAUAGUAUCUAUACAAUGAUUAUCCAUAAAACAUCUCAAUUUAUUUCCUUAGUAUCAUGAAGCUUAACUUUUGGUCUUUGAUUCUUGACAUAAACUUCAUUAUGAAAUUAAAUAACUAAAAUAUUACUGGACAACUGGAUCUUUAAAAAGAUUUUAAAAGAGAUAGCUUUACUACUAAAUCCUAUAAUCACUUUGAUCCAAUUAACUGGCCAGUUAACUUUAUUUACAGGUCAAAAUAUACCCUAAGAAUCCAGAAGAAAGUUAGCAGUGCAUUUCAGUCUUUCUCUGCAGCACUGGUAGAUUUCAAAAAUUCAGGGGAAAGUUGAGAGAUGAGAAUUUGUUAACUUUAAAUGUUGCUUUAACCAUGUGACCCAUGUGACUUUAUAAACUUACUUCAUUUAUUGGGCAAGAGGAAAUCUUUAACCAGAGCCACAAAUAAAUCAUCCUAGUCAGAAGGGCACUCUACUGUAUAUUAACAACAUAGCUGUUAGCUAAAGUAAUAUGAAGAACACACCUUCUGCAGUCACGUAAAUAAGGCUUUGAAAAGUGACUCUUUACUACUUUGGGGAAAUCAUAUGCCUCUGUGAGCUGCAGUCCUUCUAUCUACAAUAUGGGAAAAUAGGAAAAUAAUUUCUACCUCAAAUAAAAAUUUGAACACUUAUCAGAUAACAUCUGAAAAAUGCCUUGUAUAACGUAAACACUUAAUAAAUGAUUCUUAUUAUUACUGUGACCUUAUGCAUAUGAAUUAACCAAUGUCUUCAUUGGUCGGUUUCACACUAUAUUUCCAGCUAAUUUCCUUAGCUCAUGUUACUCAACUCCCAUCUCUCUGCCUGUCAAUCCUGCUUUAAUUCGCAAAAUGCCUUACUUCAGCACAUCUCUAUUAAAAGGAAUACACCUGGCUAUUUAAAAGUUCCUUUCAGGGGCGCCUGGGUGGCGCAGUCGGUUAAGCGUCCGACUUCAGCCAGGUCACGAUCUCACGGUCCGUGAGUUCGAGCCCCGCGUCAGGCUCUGGGCUGAUGGCUCGGAGCCUGGAGCCUGUUUCCGAUUCUGUGUCUCCCUCUCUCUCUGCCCCUCCCCCGUUCAUGCUCUGUCUCUCUCUGUCCCAAAAAUAAAUAAACGUUGAAAAAAAAAAUUAAAAAAAAAAAAAGAAAAAAAAAGUUCCUUUCAUAAAUAAUAAUUAUUUAUUAUUAAAAAUAUUUUUAAAUCUCAAAUGGGCAAGGUAUGAUUUUUUAGGACAUUUUAGGAUAGAAUAUUUGAAUUAUAUCAACUAACAAAAUAUUAAAGUAAGUCAUACUUAAUAGUUUACUCUUUUUAAUGUAAAUUAUCUCAUUUUAUUUGAGGUGAGAAUUAGUAAACCUAGUUUUUAAAUUAGAAAAAACUGAGCCUUAGGAAAAGAAAUAACUUACUCAAGGUGUAGUAAUUACUAAGCCUGGCUCUUUUGAUACAAGACACUGUUUUUCCUAGUGUGUACUAAAUUUCUACAGUGAAAAAUAAGACUUACUACAGAAAUCAGAAAGGGUAAAGAUAACAGCCUAAAAGGAAAGGACUAUGAAGAUUUAAAGCUCUGACAAUAUGGCAUUUUACAAUCUGAGCAAAGAUAAACUUCCCCAUUCUCUGUCUUCCUCUCUGUAUAUACAUACAUAUCCAUACAUUUUCUGUAUCCUUAUCAUUAGUUUUGCUGAAAUGCAGUGGUAUCUCUAUGUUUAGCUUUCCGUUCUAUAAACAUAUCUCUGUUUUAUGAUCAAAUGCUAAAUGUGCCUCCUGGCUUAAAAUGUACUGGUGUUCACAAUAGUUCUCUAAUCUAAGACUGAGUAAAGGAAAGAAGGCAACUUGUUCCCCAGGCAAGGGCUCUGGAGUGGGAGUCAGAGGACUGUGUUUAUCUUUGAAGCCUUGGGCAUGUUCUUUGUGUUUUAAUAUACUGGGAAACUUUUGUUUUGUUUUUUAUUCUAUAUAGUGUUGAAUGGAGUAUGUAUAUAUGUUAAAAUGAAUUCUCUUUCUUACUAUAAAUGAUUUUCUUAACUUUGAUGCUUAUUUUCAUUCUUGCUUGUUAUACUUGAUAAUUAUAGAAAUGCUAAACAGUUCUAUUUUGGCAUAAUUUAACUAUGUAUUAAAUGUAUUUUUUAAAAUACAUUUUUAUUUUAGAAGUUUUAGAUUUACAGAAAAAUUGUAGAGAUUCACUCCCGACUCAAUUUCCCCUCUUCUUACGAUCUUACAUUAACACAAAUUACCAAUAUUGACACUUUAUUAUUAACUAAAUUUCAUAUUUAUUCAGGUUUCCUUGGGGUUUACCUAAUGAGCUCUUUCUGUUCCAGGACUAUUCCACCCAGGAUACCAUAUGACAUUUAGUUGUCAUGUCUUCUUAGGCUCCUCUUGGCUGUGAGAGUUUCCUAGACUUACCUUGUUUUCCAGGACCUUGACAGUUUAGAAUGCUUCUUAAUUGGGAUUUGUCUAAGUUUUCUUUCAAUGAUUAGACUGGGGUUGUGGAUUUGGGGGAGGACAUCCUCAGAGGUAAAGUGCCAUUCUCAACCAUCAACAUGACUUGUUCUACUGAUGUUAAACUUCCUUCCCCGGCUGAGGUAGUGUCUGUCAGUUGUCUCUACUGUAAAUUUACUGUUGUUUUGGAAGAGAGUCGCUAUGUGCAGCCCACACCUAAGGAGUGAGAGUUAUGUUCCAUCUCCUUGAGGUGGAGUAUCUCCAUAAAUUAUUUGGAAUUCUGCACAUUCCAUUCACUCAUCCAUUCAUUCAUUUGUUCAUUUAUUUAUAUCAGUGUGUACUCAUGGGUAUUUAUUUUAAACUUUGGGUAAUAAUUUAAUGCUACUUUUCUUUUUUUGUUGUUGGUCAAAUUGUUCCCACUUUGGUCAUUGGGAAUUCUUCCAAGUGGCUGUGGUAUAUCUUUGUUAUACCCCCAUCAUUGUGGGGUUUUUUUCUUUUUUCUUUUGUUAGUGCUUACUUUUUAGCAUUAUAAGAUGCUGUUGGCAUAUAUUGUAUAUUUCCUAUUUCGGUCAUAGAAUCUGUGUUUUCUCCAAAGAGCCUUCUUUUAUUGGAGUAUGGUAUUAAAACCACAGUUUGGGACCUAGAUAUGUUCACUGCUACUGGGGAGUCAUUUUUUGUUUAUACCAUCUCAGUUGACAGAGCAAGGAAAUAUGUGUGUUUAUACAAACAGGUGUAUAUACAUAUACCUAUAAAUAUUUUAAUGAAUUAUGUUUCUAUUCAUUCACAGCAUUCACAGCGUUCCUUCCUAAACUUCCCAUGUGUGGGGUAUCAUAUAAAAUAGAUGCAAAUUAGAACAAAUUAAUGAAUAAUUAAAGGUAGAACUAAGUAAAGUCUGGAAAUAUAUCAUAAAAGUAUACCCUAAAACCAGAGAAUCCUACCUGGAGUUCAUAGGCUGAAUAAGGCCUGCACGUAUGUUUUGUUUCGUGCACACAGUGCUUUUAAAACGUUUUGAAUUACAUAACAUUAAAAAAAGUGAGAGAUGUCAAAAAACAAAAACAAAAAAAAACAAAAAAAAAACCCCAAAUAUUGAUUUCUAGGUUCUCUUUAAAAGUUUAUCAUAUCUGAGAAACUCUAGACCCUCAUUAUUCAUUCACCGAUCGCCUUGCAUUGAACAGCGGCUCAAAUCUUGGUGAGGACUGCACAAGCUGCUGUCCACCCCCACCGUUUUUUCUCCUGGAUACGGAAGAGCCAGCUCAGAUUCCGUCCCACAUGUACUGUUGUUUUUCCCAUGGUGAGGAGGAGAGGAAAAUGUUUUUUUAAUCCAUGGAUAACACAGUGGGAAAAAGAAAGAUAGCCUAUAACAUAUAUAUAUCUAUAGUCUGUAACAUAUAUAGAUACAGGUACAGAUAUAGAUACAUAGAUAUAGACACAGAUAUAGAUAUAGAUAUAGAUUUUUAAGUAAAAUGAGAGAACACAUAUUUCUCUAUGCAAGUAGGAAAUAUCCCUAUUUGCUUAAUAUGCAAAAUGUGACUGUAUCAAAGUAAUACUGCUUAAUAUUCCAAUGCAAAAUGAACCCUAACCAGUAAAUUCGUUCUCCAAUAAGAAUCAGAACAUAAAACUUCCUGCCACUUCACAAAGUGACUUCAUAAAGUAAUAUGAUCCAACACAGAGUUUGGAUUUUGAUGUGGAGUUGAUAUGUAUAUCAUUGUUAUGUGACCUAGUUUUAAAUCUUUAGAAGCCAUCUCUAUGUUCUUAUUUUCUAUGAAAGUUUUUAUAAAUCUUGAACCGCAUUAUUUUAUGUAAAAGGCCAAUAAAAAAUAAUUUACCCAAGAUCUAAAAACGACAUUUUACUGCUAUGUUGAAGUACUGUCUUUGUGAUUUUGUCUGUUCAUUCAGUCCAGUUGGUUUUAUUCAGUUAGUUUUAUUCAGAAGGGACAUGAAUAAAGAAAGAAGUUAUUAUAGAUUUCUAGUAUGCUAAAGAUGUGGAUGGAAUAUGGACUAAGCAUUUUAUUUGACAUUUGUCUUGUUUUCAAAAUGAUGACAUUAUGAGAAAAUAAAAUGUCUGAUCCAUUAGUGGCUAAAUGAAAAUAAAGUCUAGGCUACAAGUGGCUGGAAGCUUGAAGCUUGCCAUGUUUUACUGGUUGUACCAAAUUAAAUGUAUUUAUCAAGAAAGUGAACUUAUGGCAAGAAGGAAAAAAAGGUUAUACUUAUUGGAAUAAAAGUGAAUUUAGGUAGAAUUUUAAGUAUAAAAAUAAAUAUAGUGUAAAAUAAAAUUUAAGAGCGUAAAAAAAUAAACCAAGUUUGACAAUUUGACCACCUCCCUCUCCCCCCAGUAUCAUUGCGUAAUUGUUGGCAUCAUAAGUUUUAUCAUGUUUAUGCAUGUCUAUAUGCAUGUAUGGAUGAAUAUAUAAACACACAAUUUGAUAUUUAUAGAUACGUAAUAUUUUUGUCUAUAUAUGUAUUUAUUUUAAAGAUUUACAAGUGCCUAAUAUGAGGGUAUAUAACCAUUUCUAUAAAAGAAAAUAUCUAUAACCACAACACGUACAUACAAAACUAUAUUUCUUGGGGCGCCUGGGUGGCACAGUCGGUUAAGCGUCCGACUUCAGCCAGGUCACGAUCUCGCGGUCCGUGAGUUCGAGCCCCGCGUCAGGCUCUGGGCUGAUGGCUCAGAGCCUGGAGCCUGUUUCUGAUUCUGUGUCUCCCUCUCUCUCUGCCCCUCCCCCGUUCAUGCUGUGUCUCUCUCUGUCCCAAAAAUAAAUAAACGUUGAAAAAAAAUUCAAAACUAUAUUUCUUAUAUAUGUUUACAUAUAUAACAGUAAUGUUUCAAUUAGACUAUGAUAAUAAACUCAAUGGAAACUUCUGGUAUGCAGAAUAUGUUGAUUUUUCAUAUAAUUUCUUAGGAAUAUUUGCCAUAUAAAUUAACAUUAAAAAAUAAAUUUGAUGAAUACAGCUUGGAUGAAACAUUAAGAUUCUAGACUUUCAGUGCUGAGAAAUCAGAAAUUGAAUCAGGGCUCUGCCUCAGCAGAUUCCAUGCUAACAGUGAUUUUAUUAUAAUAUCUACCUGACCACUUCCCAUCUAGGGAGUGAAUGUGAUUGAUGAAGAAUGGAUGAUUAACAAAAUCUUACUUCUCUGUUGAUCUUCAUUCCUGAUGGAAAAGGUCACACCUACAAAUACUGUCUAGUUUCAGAUCUGGGCCUCUCACUUCUAAAGUGUGGCAAUCUUGACCCAGGACAAGCUGUUUAAUUGCCGUGAGCCACUACUGUCACCUCAUGGGAAUGACACUCUGUUGAAGAUUUCAUGAGAUCAAGUAUAUAAAACUUCUGGACAGUAUUAGCACAUAAAGUACUCAAUUCAAAGCCAUAUUCGAUGGCUACUUCAGCUACCACUACUAUGACAGCUAUCGAGUAAAGAAAGUCCUUUUAGACUGAAUUGUCUUCUAUUUUAAUAACUCUUACAAAAUAAAUUAAAAAAAAAGGCCAAUAUACAACUUCCGAGUCACUAGUUCAUUGUCAUCAGUCUGGAAACCUCCAUAAGUAUGUAGGUAUGGUCAUAAUGUUUGCAACUGUUUGAAAUGGAAACAAUGGAAACAAUUGAAACACUUUAGCCCUGCAGAUUAUCAUUAACAAUAAACUGCCUUUAGCUUUUCAGAUCACUGUUGGUAACCACUAUUUACGACACAAAUGAGUAGGAUUUGUUAGAAAUCAUUGCGUUAUUAUAUUUGCAAGCUUAGGUAGUGUUUCUCUUAGCAGAUAGGUACUCUACGGUUUCAUGGAGCACUGAAAAUGUGUGUGUUACUAUAAAUAACACACAGUUACCUGUGUGGCAAUAUUUGGUCAUAAAAUAUUUUCACUAUAAAUUACAUAUUACAUGUUAUUAUCCAUGUUAUUAUCCAAGAAAAAAAGUUGCUAAGGGGCUGAGAUAAUAAUCUAGAAAUCCAUGACUUGUCUGUGGUAGGUUUUGUUUUUGCUGUUUGGUUGGUUUGAAUGAGAAGUUAGUUGUUUUUAAAUCAAGCUAGUGCUUUUAUUAUUUGACUUCAGCCAUAAACGUAAGCUGAAAUGAAAAACUAAAGUAGAAGGAAAAUUGUGAAAUAAAUUGAAGAUCUAUUAUAUACAUUAUACAUAUUCCAGCUAACCCUAGGUUGUGGACCUGGAGAUAUGGGCAAGAUGGCUUUGAAAAUAAUCCCUCUUAUAACUUCUCAGGUUGUACUAAUUUCAUGUGGUUAAUAAGGCAUGUAGGAGGUAGUGUUUUCACUAAUGAUGGAUUAAUUGGAACUAGGGGGAUUUCAUUUUGUAAAUCUUAAAACUGGUUAUCCACCCCAUCUCCCUCAUUUGACCAGGCUUAAGAGAUAUAAAUAGAACUUUUUGCAUUGCCAUUUAUGAUACAAUUUGCCCUUUAUUUCUUGGUGUUUGGUAACUCCUAAAUUCCAAAAUCUUUUUUUAAGUAGUUUUUUUUUUACUUUAUAGUUCAUCAAAUUUGAAUUUGUUUUAUGUGAGACUGUUGAAAAUGAUGUAAUCCAAUGCAUUCCAGCAAAUUGCCAAGGGAUUGUUAUGUUUAUAUUUUCAGGUACUUUAAUAGAAUAAUUUUCAGGCUCAGGUUAUGAUUACUAUCAACUCUGUAAAAGCUUCCUUGCUGGUGACAGGAAAAGUUGCUACAGUGACUGACAUUGGAACAGAAUGGAGGUCUAGAGGUACUAAAUAACCCUCAGAAUGGCACGGAGAAGAUGUUAGAUCUAGGAAUCGGUCUCACUACAAAAGAACAUUGAUCAGCGUACCAUUUUUGACAUUUGUUUCUUUUUUUAUUGGCAAAAGAAGAGCUUUCUGGAAUGGUGAACCAAUUCUGUAUGGCUAUGUCCUUACUAGUCUGUAAGGUCUGUGAGGGCAAGGCAGUGAUUUCCUGCAUAUCUACCCAGUUGCUUGUUUGGAAAUAGACACCUGAAAGAAAACUGAAAGAAAUUGUCUUUCCACUCUUCAAAGCAGGACAAAUGCUCCAGAAAAUUUCCAUUUUGCAAGAAAUGGAACUUCUGAACUCCUCUGACUUUGUCACCAACAUCAGGCUUCACCUGCCUCUCUAACUUUUUUUCUUUUUUUUUUCCCCUUCUGUCCUUAGGCUGAACCCUCCUUGAUUCAUACUAGGACGAGAAUAAUGACUACUUAUCUGGUUUGCUGCGUGGAAUCUUUCUCUCCUCUAUGAUUCUCCCCACUUACUCUACAAUCUCAGAAGACUCAAUCUUCCUUCUUUCCUUUUGCUGCUCAAUGAAGGGAAAGACUUCAAUGCUAUCACAUUACCAUCAACCCAGUUAAACACAACACUGUUAGUUGGUGUUCAGGAUUUCUAUGAUUGGAGGCAACUGACACUUUCUGGCAUUUCUUCCACUUAUUCCCUAGAUGGAAUACUCAGUAUGAGACAAACCAAAUCUGAGUAUGCUCCCCAAGCACACCCCAUCUCUGAGUAAUUGCUUAAGUAUCUUCCCAGUUGUUAUUGCCAAAGCUCCUAGCCAGACAUUCAAAGGCAGUGAGUGCUCAACUAAUUUGUUUUAUUGAAGUCUGACAAUAAAUUAGAUGGAUAGUUAAAAUUAUACACCUUUUUUUCCUAUACAUUUUGAUUUGGUUAUUUGAAUUUCAUUCACUGUUUUUCAAUUCUAUUAUGCUUUUCUAAAAUUGACUUUGGUUUACAUAGAAGUACUGUCAAAUUAUUGAAAAGUUACGAUAGCUUUUACUAAAUAUUUGAAGCAAGGGCUAAUAAAUUUCUACAACUCCUUUAAGCACACAAAAUUAAUUUUAGUUAUUAACAAAAGCUGUUCUUUUUUUUACAAAGGUUUUUAAUAUAUAAUCAGGUUUGUAACCUUUUCUAAAACAAGUUCUCUUUUUUUUCUCAGAUUUUCUGAAGUUGUUUGUACUAAAAUGAUACUGUUAUUCUGGAAUGUUGAUGUGGUAGGAAACUUCUACUUAUGUCUCUAAAAAGUAGGCUAUGAUUACAUAUCAUAAAAAUAGAUGUAAAACGUGGCUAUUCUGGCCUCUUGAGGUCAGAGAACCUUGCCAUGAGCAUGUUUAAUCACAUGUCUGUACAUCUCAGUGACUUAAUAUUUCAAAUAACAGACAUUUUAAUAUAAGACAAGAAAACAUAAACCUCAGUGGAUGAACUGAUACUUCACAAUCAAAAUCUGUUAUGCUCUGAAUUAAUCAAAACUUCAGUAUUCCUUUUUAAAUUUUAUCAAUUACAUUACAUGGAACUAUUUUUUCAAAAUAGUAAAAUUUAGCAUGAGAAGUAUGUGAUUAUUAACACAUAGAAUUUCUCCUUUUCUUCUCUAAUUUGUACUCUAAUAAGUACAAGAAGUGAGUGUAGCUAAAGGCUACACACACACACACACACACACACACACACAUACACACACACAUAUAUGAUGAAAUACUCUGGAAGGAACAUUUGAAGCAUAGUUGAAUAUUUUUGUCAAUAAUUCAGUUGCUUUUUAAAGUUUUUAUUUUUCAUUUAUUUAAGUAAUCUUUACACCCAACAUGGGGCUCUAACUCAUGACCCUUGGUUCAAGAGCGACAUGUUCUUCUGACUGAGCCAGCCAGGCACCCUAACAAUUCAGUUCUUAAAUUCAUAUUUCAUUAGAGUUGCUAAAUUUUCACCUUUUUGGGCUAAGGAGGGUAUCAUCAUUGCGAUUUCCUGAAGCCAAAUUGCAUGGAGGAUCAUCAUAUAUUUUCCUUUCUCCAGGUCCAAAUAGGCUGAGUGUCUCAUCCGUGAGUUCCGAACCUAGUUGCUCACUGUUUCUGCCCAACAGAAACCCACUGGUCAUGAUGCAUACCUUUCUCUAUGGAUUAAGCAAAGUGUUUAUAGUGGCUGUCAAUGUCCAAUGGCAGCUCGAAGCCAACCUUUGAGUCAAAUCUUUUGCCCAAUAAAGUGUCCUAAGACUAUCUUGGUGUCUUAAGACCAUCUAAUUUAUUAAACAUUUUUUUUCUUUUUUAGCUGAGAACUCUAAGCAAAAGUUAAAUUUUUUCACUGAAUGAUUGCCAUAUUUUCAUGAAAUUUUGAAAUGGCAUGAAUGGUUUAAGGGCAAAAGGAAUACUUUUUGAUGCUUUGUGUUAUAUUUGCUGUUAAGUUACAUUGGAAAAGUAUCUCAUUACAUAAACUUUACAAUGCACGUAACUGUCAAAAUCAUUUCCUAUAACCGAAGAAAGAACUUGAAAUUGCUGUUCAUGAUGAUAAUACUUAAAGAUGACAUUUCUUCUAUUUAAAAAUAUUAUGCUAUUCUCUCCCUCCCUCUCUUUCUGCCCCUCCCCUACUUGCAUUCUCCCCCUCUCUCUCAAAUACAUAAAUAAAUAAAAAUAUACUAUUUCCAUCAGAUCUCUGCUCAGUCUGCUUUAUCUGUGAGAUUACCCUUGAUUAUUUAAAAUUAACCGUAGUCUCUCCUCCCCACUCAAUUCAUUUCUCUCCUAGCACUUUCUGCCUUUACCUUUCUGCAGUUUUCUUUGUGACAUUUGUGACUAUUAGACAUAUAUGAUUCUGUGUUUAUUUACUUAUUUUCUGUCUCCCUCUACUAGUGUGUAAACUCCUUAAAGACUAAACUUUUCCUGUUCUGUUCACAUUUACAUUCCUAACACUGACAUGGUGCCUAAUGUAUAGCAGGUACAUUGAUACAUUGAAUGAAUGAAUAAGAAUGAAAGAAUGAAUAAGAAAUAUAUUGAACUUCUUGAUGUGACUAGAGAUUUAAAAACUGGACUCAUAGUUCAUAGUUACUUGUGCAAAAGGCAGGAUUGUAGAUUGGUUUAUCUUCUGAGUAUUUAUUAAUCUAUAAAAUGAAAUGGACACUUAUCCCUGUAGAAGAGGUGAUAGAUACGUGUAAAAUCUUCUCAAAGCCAAAGUGGCUAUUUAAGUAUGGUAGCAAUCCUCUGAUUUUAUUUCCUUCCUUCCCUUACAGUUCACGCAGCUCUACAGUGAACAUCCACUAUGUCUCAGAUUCCCUGCUCGGUGUCAAUGAUAUAGCCUUGAACAAGACAAAGAUACCCUGCCAUGCUACCCAAGACAGAGUGGAGAGUGCAGUCUAGGAGGUGGUAGAACAAAAUUAGGGAUGAAUAUGGUCAGAUUUUUAUAGAAGUGAGCAUCCUUUUGAAAUUGAGCACAUAUUAGGUGCUCAAUAAUUGUUAGAUUAAUGAAGAAAAUGAAACUUUAAAGAAAUUCUAAAUCAAAAUUUAAUUUAUUUCUGUAAGUGAAAAGUCAAACUUUUUUUUCCAAUAGAUUCUCAUCUCACAAUUUCUCUGUGAUUAAUAGGAUUUGGGGUAAAUUGCCCAAAACAUACAACACAGAUUCUACCUAUAAAAUACUGCCAUCUUUCCAUGAAUUACCAGAGAAAGGAAAAUUCUCAUGCAAAAUCAGGUGAGACAAUUCCUUUCAGAAGUAAAAGUUCAGGAAUGUGUUGUCCAUGACUCUGCCACCAGUGUCCAGGGAAGUGUCUGGCACAGAGAAGACAAGAAAAUGCAUUUUGUCAAAUUGAACUGAAGGAAUAUAAGGAGGGAAAAAUACUUUAACUCUGUGGCCACAAUGAUCUCUAGAAUAUCACAAUACAGGCAUCUUCAGUUAACUGUUCAUUUCUUUAGAAGACUCUCUCUCUUUGCUUCAGGGUCAGUUCUGGGCAUAAAAUUCAUAACGGCCAUAGACAGAGCCAUUUAAAAGAGCACAAUUUGAAACAACUAAAGUGUUCAUGCCACAUGAGGCCAUGAACUUAUCACUAUAAACCUCCUAGCACACUGUCUUCUAUAUUGUAGCUGUACAAUGUGUUUAUUUAAUAAGUGGCUAACUUAUAAUCCAACCACUGUCUCCAAAUCUUAGCACAAAUGAAAUUUGAGUUGAUGCACAUAAUACAGUUAAAUCACCCUUCAAUUCCUAACUUGAAAAUAAUUUCCUAGGCCACAUACUAUAAUUUGUCCAUUUUUAGAUUAAAUAGGUGAUUUCUGAAAGUAAACAUCACCUAGUAGUUUUUGCAGAGAACAGAGUUUUAAAAGAUAAAAACAAAAAUGAUACUUGACAUAUAAACUAUUAUUUGGUCCACAUCAUUUUCUCUUGAUUCUUGCAUAUUUAAGGAAUGUCUCAAGAUCAUCUCUCAAAAGAAAAGAAACUAAAAGGUCAUUCUUCAAUCAUUUUACAUAUUUCAUAUUUGAAAUAUGGAUUUUUUUAUUUCUCUAGUGAAUUAUUUAUGCACUGGGCCCCUUUUGGUAAAAUGUAAUGGAUUUUUUUCCUGCCAAUUUAUAAAAGCACAGAAAACAGACUGAAGGCACAGCUAGCAGCCUCCAGCUUUGGUAACGCUACCCAUCUGUUUCCUAUAAGGUAGUUGUUGUUUUUCCUUGUUAAAUUCUCCCUGUGAAAUGUUUUUCUUGAGAUUUCUUUUUUUGGUCUGUGACUUCUACCCAGUGAUUCUACUCACUAGUGGAUCAUGAAGGCACAAAUGGAUUCUGGGGGAGCUUUGUAACUUCUGAUCCUUGCACCAGAAUCUCACUGUACUGAUCUAAUUUGGGCUAGAUCUAUUUCCAGGGAGAUAGAUUUCUGAAAUUACCAAGGAGUCAUGCUGUUCUUAAAGUGAUUUUAAUUUAAGGGUUUUUACACCUUAAAAAAAAGAUUAUUGAGAUUUCAGAUUUGUGGUAGUUUUUAGUGGUAAAUUUUCCUUUGGGGGUGGGGGGGGUGCCAUUUAGCUUUUAUCUGUGUUGUCUUAAGGAGCAGAAAAUAUAUUCUUUUCUAACCACAGGACAUAAGGAAGGCAAGUCCCCACAUAUGCAUGAUCUUUCUAAGAAACAAUAGUUUUCUUGCUGUUUCUUCCAUUUAAAGAAAGCAGUGCAUCACUGCAGGUGCUUCCCUUAAUGACUAAAGUAAUAUACCCAAAUCUGGCAUCAAAAUACUAGAGAAGCUUUUAAAAAAUACAGAUUUCCAGUUGCAAAACAAAAUCAGAAUCACAAGAGGUAGGGUCUAGGAGAUGAUAUUUUCAAAUAAUUUCUUUGAGGGAUUUUGAUGCACAGCCAGAUUUGAGAAGCAUGAAUUUAAAACAGAAUCAAGGCUGAAAUGUAAAAUUAAAUUAAAAUAAAAAUUUUUUAAAAUUAAAAAAAACUCUUCAAUUUGAGGAAUACAUAGCAUUUAAAGUCACAAAACACAUAUAAUUUUCAUGGGACUGAUUUGGGGUGAAAUCUUUGAAUGGAGGAAGAACUGAAAGAUCAUAAAAUAUGAUCAUAAAAAUAACCUGAAGCUUUCAAUGGCUCUGAAAGAUAAUACUGGGGUUUGCCUCCCAACCCUGCAGGCUCAAUGCCACCUACUUUAUAAAAACAUAACUUGCAAGGUGUGGAUAUAUUGGCUGAAAUCACUAAAUAUUCUGUGACAGCUUAAAAAGCCUCCUGUCAAGGAUACCAUAUACUUAGUCUCAAAAACUUUCCAUCUGUGUUUAUAUUAAACACAGGUGUAUUGCUGUGGGCAGGUAGCUCAGGUAUUGUGGCAUUAACAGGUCAUACUAAUUACUACAAUGGCUUUGUCUAAUAUGCUAACUCAGAAAAAUUCCUUUGCCCUAUUUCCUCUCUUCCCUAUGUGUUAUCACUGCUGUUCUUGAAAUCUGAUCACACUCCUAUGUUGGGAUGUUAUUUAUGUGGACAGACCCAAAGCCUGGCGAUUAAAUACUUGACCUCAGGGUGUUUUGUGGGAGAAACAGGAUUCCUCCACUGUCAUCAUAGCCCUAUACAAAUGGAUUUCUGCCAAUAUAAGGCAGUGCAUGAUUUAUCUCUCCUUCACCCUACUCCAGAUUCUGAUAGGUUCCCAUAGAGGGGAGAGAAGUGAGCAUGAAUUUGUUGUUGAUAUACAUGUAAGUGGGGUUGAGGCAGGCAAGAGAAGUCUGGGACCUCUGUGCUAAAUAAUAAUGGUUGUGUUUAAAUAACACACAAAAAAUGAUUUUUUCAAAGCACUUUCACAUCUAUUUGAUUCUCAAAACAACCUUGAAGGGGGAGUAUAUCACUCCCAUUUUUAGAUGAAAAAAUUUGAGGUUCAAAAAAGUUGCCAUUUGCCAAAUGUUGUAUAACAAGGGAUUUUCAGUGCCAGGGUUAAAAAAAGCAAAAUAAAACAAAACGCUUAGGUUUCCCUGACUCCUUAAUUUCCAUUUCCCCUACAUCACUUUGCCUUUUAGGAGUUCCCCGUAGCUAGCUUAAGAGUCAAAGUACAACUGAAAGGUGUCUGAGUUAGAGCUGCACGUUUGCCCUUUCAUUCUCAUUCUUCGUUCUCUUGAUGUAAAUGAGCAAGUGCUACUUACCCUGAAGCUGAAGGCAAAGUAAGAGGCCUGAAGUGCAUCAGAAAUCUGUGCUCCAAACCCCCAAUCUGCCAUUUCUUCUAGCUCGGUCCCUUUACCCACCACUCAGUCUCUUUCCCCUGCUUUCUGUUCUCUCUCUCUCUUCCUUCUAACAGUAGUGAAUUCCAUAUAGGUCCUGGAUACAUUCUACUUCUUUCUCAAUUCUCAGUUGACCCAACACUUCCACCUACCCAAGAAUAACCUACCCCUCCUGCAAAAUGCCUUAAACAAGGCUUAUGUAUGCUCUCUUGAAAUCCUAUAUUUAUUUCCAUCAAGGUACUUACUAUGGACUUUAAUUGCUUGAUUAUCUGUUUCCUUCUUUGGGCUAUAGCUACUUGGAAAUUGAAUGCUGUCCUUUAUUUUGUUCAACUCUAGUACCCAGUGGGGAAAUGGCACAUAGUAGGGACUCAACAUCUAUUGGAUGGAUAAAGAUCAUAUUCUCCCUGUUCAUGUCCCUAGGAUUCCUUGGAGUAUUUCUGUGGAUUAUUUCUUUGGAGACUCUAAAUCAUCCCUUUACCUUGCCAAGACCUUUCCAGGCCCCUACACAGCACACUGGGUUUUAUAUAGGUCAUUUAUUAAAUGGUCACUUAAUAGGGGAAAUGAUAUUUGAUUUGCAUUAUUUUGUUUAUACAUGCUUUACUAAAAAACAUGUUAUUCCUCCCGAGUUUUAGGAUUUCUUUGACCUUUUACUAUAAUUGCCAAAGAGCUGAUUUCCUCUUUCUUGUUAAGAAAUUCUGCAGAAUGUCCGACCUAAUGUGCUGUCGCUGCCAAAUUACUUUUCUUGAAAUCCACUCUUGUAUAGCAACAUGAAAAGAAAGAAAAUUUUAUAAUUUUUUUUGAUAUUAGGAAACAGAAGUACUUUCUUUUGGUAAUAAGAUACUUUUUAAGUAUUAAUAUUCAUAAAAGUAAGAAAUAAUAAUUUAAUUUAGCAAUGAUAACCGAGAAAAUUUGCCAUAGUCUCUUUCCAUCAUACAAAAUACUACCAUUAUAAAGAAUCUACCUAUACUGACUAUUAGAUUAUAGACACGUUGCUACCUUUUUGUCACAUUGGCUUUUUUCCUUUACUGAUAUUUUAAAUUAUUUAACUAUUAAGCUGGAAAAACUGAAUGAUUAAAUUAAUCCCAAAUAAUUUUAAAUAUAAUAUAGGUCCUGUAUAAAAAUAAAAUUUUAAAGAUGCUGACAUUUUUAGCAUGUUAAAUAGUGGAGUUUGUAGUUCAUCAUAUAUGGGCUGGCACAAAUUAGCCUAAAGUCCUGUCUGGAAGAGCAUUAUCACUGUAUACUUCAUAUUCCUAUAAGCUCUUGAUAAACUGUUUACUCACUCUUAGAUAGUUAAAGGAAUGCAAAGGUGGGGAGGUCCAUCAUUUUGUGAAUGAGGUAGAAUAAUGUUGAAUAUAUGAAUUCUGGUGUACAAGCUGCUUGUUAUGCAUAUGGAGAAUGAUUUUGUCUAUUCCUAGAAUUCCUAACUCCCAGAUAAUUGGUCAAUAUAGAUAGGCAUGAAAUAAUGCUUCUAAAUUUACUGUUCUGGUUAGCAAUGUUUUAAGUUUCUUUUUAAAGUUCAUUAAGUAUCUUCCCCAUCUUGUCAUCUCAUUUGGUCAUGUGGGCCAGUCAUGAAAAGUUUAGCUGAGCUCAUGAUAAAUUCCAUUAGCUUUUAUGGUUGAUACUUAACCUAUAGAGUUGCAUUAAAUAACUCUUAAAUCACAGCUAUUCCAUUAACAUCAUAAGAAUAUCUUUUCAUCCAGUUACCUCCCAUUAAAUCAGCAUGCAAAUGAUCAGGUUAAAUUUUUUUUUUUUAGAUCACAUGCCCUAUUUUAAAACAAAAUGAGCAGUCACACUUAUUCCAUUGUUUGCUUUUAUUUCUAAUCAUUACUGCCAUUCAGAUUAAUUGUGACUGAACAGAUCAUUACUGAACAGGAGAAAAUUGCAAUUGUACCUUGGUCCUUGGAGGGAGGUUUCUAUUUUCAAAGCUCUCAAUUAACAGAAGAUUAAAUUUCAAAAAAAGAAGAAAACAGUUAAGAACUUUUGUAAAGACUAUUUUAGACUUCAGAAAAAUGAAAGGAAAGGAAAACCUGAAUAAGGUAUAGCUAGUGGUUAUUGGUUUGUUUUAAAUUGUAUUUUUCAGUGUUGAAUUUUAUUGAAUUUUUCCCAUUUGGCCUUUUCAGCAUCACCUCUUUAGUUUAAAUAAAGUAGGUAGAAUGAAGUACAAUGUUUGUUAUUAGGGGAGUCAUAUUUAUACAGUGUAAGCUGAAUUUUCUGGGGGAAAAUUUCAUUUCCUGUGUCCUAUAAAAGAGUCUGAAAGGGACUAAGUAAUAUUGGUAUGCAGUCAUUUACUAUUCAUACUCAUCAAGAUGCCUGAAGGCUUAUUUGUGUCAUGGAGAUAGUUUUUCCCCAUCAAUAUCCUGUGAAGCCUCAGGAAAGCUAGGGGAAAUUUCACAGGAUAUUAGGAUGGUAACAUUUGGUGGCUACACAGACAUAACAUCAGGAAAUGAAAUAUUGACUGUUUAGAAUUGGGAACUGAAUAGAAAGAAUGGAGUUACAUUCUUAGUAUGUUUCACUUGCUUCCCUUUGAUAAAAAAUUCAGCUUAAAAAAAACCCCAAAACAUCGUGGUCUCUCUUUUCUUAUCUCUAAGGUAAACCAUGCUUUACUCUUUUUCUCCUUUCAAGUUAAUCCAGACUCCUCUUCCUCUUCAUUCUUCGUAUGGACUCUCAGUUUAUUACUCUUACUUAUGCAAAAUCCACAUUCAGAGUGUGAAUUUUAAGUUUUAUAUAUAAAAACUUGUGUUCCCUUUAUUUUCUCUCUAUGGUAGCAGUGCAACUGUCUUACUUAGAAUGUAGUCAUUAAGAGUGUGUGGUUGUUCAAAUCUUGGCUCUGUCACUCACUGACUUUGUGAUGAUCGACUCCAAGCCUCUCCCCAAGUGGUUGUAAGGAUUAAGUAUAAACUUUCCCUAUGACAUUUAGCAUAGCUCUCACAACACAGUACCCCAUAGCUAUUAGUAUUUACACUGGGUUGUUUUUCCUUACAUAUUCAUCCUAAUAUGCCUCAAUCGAAUUUAGAAUCUUUUCCAAUCAAGCUUCCAAUUUAUCUUCCAAAAACUUUUAUUUUAUUCUAUGUCUACACCAUUCUCCUUCCUGUAGGUAUCUGUAUUAGUUUUCUAGGCUGCUGUAGAACAAAGUAUGACAAACUGGGUGGCUUAAAACAACAGAAAUCUAUUGUCUCAAUUAGGAAGGUCAGAAGUUCAAAAUCAAGAUACUGGCAGGGCCAUGGUCUCUCUGAAACCUGUAGACAGAGAAUCCUUCCUUGCCUCUUCUUAGCUGCUGGUGGUCGCCCACAGUCCUUCACUGCCUUGGUUUGCAGCUGCACUUCAGCCCCUGCCUCCAUCACAUGUGUCUGUGUCUCUUUGUGUCUUCUCUUCUUAUAAGGACACCAGGCAUAUUGGAUUAAGCGACCACCCUAUUCUAAUGUGACCUCAUCUUAAGUAAUUACAUUUUCAAAGGACUUAUUUCCAAAUAAGGUCAACCUAUCUUUUUAGGGCACAUAAUUCAACUCACAACCAUAUCCAAUAGGUGUUACUUCCUCCAUUCAUUCUUGAACCUUGAAUGUCAUUUUUAAAUUUUUUCUAAUAUCUUGUCCCACCUAUAGUCAAUCAGACCUUGCAUAUUUCAUAUCUGGUGUUUCAUGGAUUUACCCCUCUUUCUUCAUUCCCAGAAUAACUAUUUCUAACUACAGUAUAACAUUUUCAACUGGUAGCCUUUACUUAAAAAAAUUUAAGUUUAUUUAUUGAUUUGGAGAGAGACAGUGAGAGCAGGGGAAAGGCAGAGAGAGAGAGAGAGAGAGAGAGAGAGAGAGAGAGAGAGAGAGAAUACCAAGCAGGCUCCACACCGUCAGCAUAGAGCCUGAUGUGGGGCUUGAACUCACAAAACUGUGAGAUCAUAUUCUGAGCUGAAAUCAAGAAUCCAACCGCUUAACCGACUGAACCACCCAGGUGCCUUUAGUCUCAUCUGCUUCCAGCUCAUCUUCAAUUCUGUUUAUAGAUUAAUGUUCCUGAAGGUUACUUCUAUUUUCUUCUAUUCAUUCACUUAUUUACCCAUCAAGCAUUUAUUGGACAUCUUCUAUGCAUCAGGCAUUGUUCUACACUAAUGAUACAGAGGUAAAAGAAAUGUUUAUCCGGGACAAAUGUAUACUCUGGUAGAGUUUACAUGUAAGCAAACAAGUAAGUUUGAUAGAUUGUUGCAGAUAUUUUGUUAGAUGUAUGGGCAAGGUGAAAUCAGAGCACAGAGAAGAGAAAUCACAUAUAGGGAAGGGGCAAGUCAUGGAAUCCUUCUAGAGGUAGAAGCAUUACUCUUCCCAGAAUUCACAUUACUCUAGAUGGAACCAUCCUUUUCUGAUAUCACAUGUUUGCCCUCCUCUCCAUGCUUUUUUUUAGGUGGCCCCUUCUCCCUUCUCAGGCAGUCUUCCUUACCUUCACCAUCUCAAACACCUUGCAUUUUUCAAGGCCUACUUUAAACCCAUUUCUGUUCAUCCUUUCUCAGAUAAUAUCAGCUCAUAGUGAUCCCAUCUUUUAAAACUUCUUAUACAUAAUUUUUCAAAGCUAGUAUUUUACAUAAAUUAUUUGCUACCUUAAGUAAAUCUGUGAAAAUGGAUAUGAAUGGGUUUGCCAGGAAUAACAUAAAGAACUUCUAGCAUAGAUAUUUGAUACCUUAUUUUUCACUGUUUUCUAAAUUAUAAACUUGCAUUCAUCCAUGGAUGAAAUUCAGUGUCUUUCAAACUAAAUGUUAGACAAUACAGCUAUGUUUGACUUCCUAAAAUGCCAAGGCCAUAUAAUUAAGAAUUCUGUAUCUAAAUUUUAAAAGUGGUAUUAAAUUUGGCUUUGCCCAAUUUCCAAAUGGUUGUAGAAUUGGACCUGGAAAAACGCAUUUCUACUUCAUCUCAGCAUUGCCAGGCUUAGUCAUUAGGGCAACUGGAUCCUCCCAUGUUGCUGUGCGCCAGUUCCUGGCUUCUGCACAGCUGGUUGGCUCUGCGACUGAUGACCUGUGCCUCCAGUCCUCUCCAAAGCACCUAGCUGUGGAGGCGCUAGGAGGUUUAGAAACAAGAGUGCUGUUGUUUUACCCUCAGGCAAGAGAAGAGGUGGCAAAAAUAAAUGAAAAUAGGAAGCAAUGAGGGAGAGGAAGUGCUGUACUCCUUCAGAUCCAUCCUGGCCAGUUGGCAAAGAGAAGGAGUCCAUUGCCAGUUACCAGCAAUGAGCCAGGAGUGACAAUAUUAUAUGGCUCGGAAGUGAGUUUUUGGAAGGAACCACUUUGGAUCUCAGUUUUCUCACUCAAAGAAAAAGAGAGAAGAAAAACAAUGCAUAUGUAUGCAUUUCAGCAGUACAUUCUGGAAAAUUUUCUUUGUAGUUAAUUUGUUUCAUUAUUUCUGAAUUCCCAAUAUUUGACAAAGUAACAGAUAGAUAAUGAGUAUUUGUUGAAUGAAUAAAUUUAUGUUAUCAAAAUGUAUUCAUUAUGUUAUUUUUAUGUUUGCUUCUAGAGUAAGUACAUUUACUUUAUCAUUUGAAAUCACUCUUAAUGCCAAAGAUUCUGGAAACUAAAACAUACAAAGAAGGCUGAAACCCACACAGGAGAUCUCAUAACUGGCCUUGGCAUAAGACUGCUAUAUUAUGAGAACUCAUUAGGUGGUAUGCAUGUGUGGGCUUCUGCUCUUUCACUGAUAUGUAUUCAGACUGCCCUAGAAUUUGAAAUACACUUUAUUACCAAAUAGGACACCGAAGGACAGUCAAAUAAAUGAUCAGUGUAUUCCUAAGAUAAUUUAAUGCUAUUUGGAAUUCUGUAUUCUUUUUACUCCUAGCUUACUUGAAGUCUGCUUUUAUAAACAUAACUUUCCCCCUUAUAUGAUUGAAGGUUAUUUUUGCUUCAGAUUCAAAAAAAUCCUCAGGUUGAUGUUCCUGAUAAUUAGUUCUGGUUAAUGAGAAUGAAUAGCAUUAGGCAAAGACCUUGCAAAACACAGAGGAAAAUAUCCAGAAUUGAGUUUAUAAAAUUUCAAUGUGUAUGCAAAUUUUCCAGAAUGUGCUGCUGGAAUACACAUAUACGCAAACUUAUUUUUCUCCUACAAGAAAGUUUCAUUACCUUUUGUAGCUUCUGUAUAUUUUGAUUGUUUUUGGCAAGGAAGCUGGGCUCCAAAUGUCUCAUUUCAUGAUCCACAGUGUACUCUUGUACUAGACAAGUAUUCAGUAAAAUUUGCCAUAUAAAUAAAUAUUGACUAAAUGGAUUAAAUAAUGCCUCCAUUCCUUGUGCCAGAUUGACUAAUUUAUUUAGAUUAACUUUUAGCAACAGUUGAAGGCAAACAUACUUGUGAUAUCCCAGAAUAUUUCAUUUCACCUAAAAGUGAAGGCUCAUAUUUUAUUUUUCCUAUACAUUGAUAAACAGAGACACCGAGUCUCCUUUUCCAUUUACUAAAGCAAAUAACCCAGUUACUCUUUUUGUACAACCUAAAUUUUACAUUCCAUAGGUUAGCAAACGUCCCACAUUUUUCUCUGAUCUUAACUCCUGUUAGUCACUGUUAGCACAAAAUAAGCGUUCCAUGGCUAUUUGGGAUUGAAUAAAUAAUUAAAAGUUUUGAAAACUCUAAAUCUCACUACAGAUAUUUUAAGAAGGUAAUGAGUGUUCUUUUCUUUUGCAUAUAUUCAUAGCCACCAUGUUUUAAGAAGUUAACAUAUGAAUUAAACAAUAAUGAUAAAAUUCAGAGUUUUAACAGAGCCAAAAGGAAUAAUUUUGAACAAUUAUAAAUAAUUUAAAGCUUUUAAAAUUUGAUAAAGCUUGUCAUGUUCAUGUUACCUCUACAAAAGAGUGUUUUAAUUUCGUCUCCAUUCAUUUACUUAUUAAGGGAAAUAACCUCUCAAAAGCACAUACAUCUACAGAUCAAAAUAUUGGAUUCCAUUUUUUUUUAAUUUUUCUUAUUCAAUCAUAAGACAAGAUAUUCCUAGCUGAGUUCUAUGUUUUGCUAAAGAAACUUGCAAAUCUUCCUUCUCAAUGUAGUAAAAGUAUAUAGGGGGGAAAUAUUGUCUUGUUUGGUCUCAGCCUCCUUCUCCGCUCCUUCUUCCUCCUCUUCUUCUUUCUUUGCUUUUCUUGUCUAUUGUUCCCCCUACAAACACAGAAAUUUCCCAGUGGAUAUAGAAAGUUAUUAAUAUAGUUUUCAGUAAAGCAGCAGUCUCUCUUUCUUCUCCUGAAUAUUACUGUGGUAUUUGUCUGGCAUUGAGAUUUGGUGCAUAUUGGGGCUUGAUCUUCAAACUGCAGCAAAUAAGAGGGCCAGCAUACAACCAUGAAUGUGCAUUAUAGAAGGUCAGUUGAACAUGAGGACGAAGAGAUGGAUUUAGAUUCAGAAUUAAUGGUUUUAGUCUUGUUUUAAAGAAUCUGUUACCUGCUCUGGAAGUGACUUGAGUAAGGAAUGCCAGAAAUAAGGAUAAAAUCCGUUUUCGUUUAUGUUCUUCAGUGAAAUCACCUAAUAUGUAAUGGCCACAAAAUAGACAUAAAUUAAACCUAGGUAGAUCAGGACAAAAGUAGGUAUUAUUAGGAUUAAUUCAAGUCCCUAAAUAUACCCAUGUGGAUAAAAUUAGAAAUUAUGCCUUCAGGAUGAAAGUGGGGGGGGGGCUUCCCCCAGAAAUGAACUCCCGAGAGAAGAGUGCGUCAAGAUAUUUUACAAUAUUUGAUAGUCAAAUGAAUGCGAUCAAAGAGCCAUUGAGAAUGUUGGGUUGAUUGUGAACGAAAUUUCAGUUUGGUCAGGGCAAGGGCAGUGAAUAAAGAAUAAGUCAGUCAAAAAUAAAUUAGAAGACAUAACCUGGCUACAACGUCUGGAGUUUCUCUGGAGGCCUAACUAUUCUUCUGUGUUAGGGAAGACAAGGAAAGAAAGCAAAAUUCAGCUGCAAAGAAAUCAUAAGAUAAAGAGUUGAAAUCAUUCUAAAAAUGUUUCAUCAUGUAAAGUACUUAAUUUUAUAGUCUUUUUUUUUUUUUUUUAGUAUAGUGGACACACAACAUUACAUUAGUUGCAGGUGUACAGGGUCGUGAUUCAACAACUCUAUACGUUAUUCUAUGUUCACUACAAGUAUAGCUACCAUUCAUCACCCAUCUGAGUCUCCCAGAUUCUCUCAAAAUAUAAAAAUAACUCUUUUUAGUUAUAAAAAUAUAUGUUCUUUUCAGGGCAUCAUAUCUGGAAUAAAUAACAUUAACACAUGAUAUUCCCACAAUGCCAGCUAUUUUAAAUCCCUGUAGAGAGGGCCCACAUCUGAAUAGUUGUGAAAAAUGAAGCUUUUUAAAAAAUUAUGUAAUAAUCCCAGGAUCAAAGCAAAUAAAUGUUUAGAUCUUUUCCUUGGUAUUCUUACAAUUGAAUAUUCAACAAAUUAAUUCAUCAAAUACUUAUUAAGCAUCUACUUGGAUCCUGAAACUAUUAUAAGAUAUUGAGAUAUAUCAAUGAACAAGCCAGAAUAAAUUAUAUCUGUGCUAAUAAAGCUAUUAUUCUAUCAUGGGGAGGCAAAUAAUAACCACAAAUACAGUAUUAUAGUAGGCUUAAAAGUGAUAAGAAAGAACUAUAUUAAAAGAAAAAAGAAGGAGUAGGAACUAGUGGAUUGAGAGUGACAUGUGUGUGGGAAUUUUUACAUUUUUUGUAAUGUGGUCAGAGUAAGCUUCAUGGAAAAGGUGACAUUUGAGCUAAGACUUGAAGGAAAUGAUGGGAAGCUGGAAUGUGAGUACUAUAUCUUGGCCAGAAUUUGCUGCUUAUUUACUUACUUUAUCUCCAGAUUGUAUAUAUAAAAGUCACGAUACCACUCAUUUGACAGAAAAAUAGCCAAGCAGAUUUUUGGUUCCCCUCUUCAUUGUAAGCAAUAUCAUGCUGGGGAGAGAUUAAGUAGACCAAAUUGAUUCAAAGCAAUUCAAAGCUGUUUAUGCAUUUAGGUCAGCAGACACAUUUGGCAUAGCACAAAUUGUGCUUGUUCAUGAGGAUUAACAUUUGAGAAAAGGACUAGGGUUUGUGAUAGAAGUUACUACCGAAAUUUCUAGUGUAUUCAACACAAGGCAGGCCUAAUUUUCUUUGUGGUGUCUUUACAGCUAUUCAAUAGUUUGAGCCAUGUUUGUGGAGACAAAAAAAAUCCAUGUCAAAUGCAUUAGCAGACUGUAAGUUGGUUUUCCAGACAGAACUGUAGAUGAGCAUUGCAUGUGCAUUAUGCGUAAUUGUAGUUUCACAUUUUGGCCACAAUCAUUUAGAUUUCCCAAUGAUACAUGGAAAGAAACUUAAGUAGUACCUAACAUGAGAGAUUUUCCUUUUUUUAAUUUUUUUCCAUUUUAACUCAAGUGAAAACAGCAGUUUUACUAGUUAACUGAGAAGCCUUUACAUAUGAGAUUGAGGAAUGUUUACUGGCUGCACUGAAGAAACUAAUCACCUUUUAGACAGUUUAUCUAAUUUCAUUUUAUCUGUAUUCUUCAUUGAAAUCCUGUGUAUGAAUUGUCUUCUUUUUACUUUCUCAGAUUUCAAGGUAGUUUUUCAAGAUUAUUGCUUUAGAAGGUAAAAUGUGAUUAUUCUUUGUAAUAUAGAAAUUUAACUCAGCUCAAAUAAUCAUUGAAUGUCUAUUCUUGUUCAGUUGGUGCAAUAAAAGAGUGGAGGUAGGUACAACAAAAGUAAAAAUUUAGAUAAUCAUCCUAAAAGGAGAUUUAAAUUUGGAGAGCUCUUUGGAAAGUCUGUAAUGGAUUGAAGAACAAAAGAUGAAAACUCCAUAGGUCUGCUCCAUAUUCACCUACCCCCUGACCCUCUCACUGACUUCAAGGCUGAGAUUAAAAAAAANNNNNNNNNNNNNNNNNNNNNNNNNNNNNNNNNNNNNNNNNNNNNNNNNNNNNNNNNNNNNNNNNNNNNNNNNNNNNNNNNNNNNNNNNNNNNNNNNNNNNNNNNNNNNNNNNCCUGCUCGCACUCUCUCUCUCUUAAAAAUAAAUACACGUUUGGGGCGCCUGGGUGGCGCAGUCGGUUAAGCGUCCGACUUCAGCCAGGUCACGAUCUCGCGGUCCGUGAGUUCGAGCCCCGCGUCGGGGUCUGGGCUGAUGGCUCAGAGCCUGGAGCCUGUUUCCGAUUCUGUGUCUCCCUCUCUCUCUGCCCCUCCCCCGUUCAUGCUCUGUCUCUCUCUGUCCCAAAAAUAAAUGAACGUUGAAAAAAAAAAUUAAAAAAAAAAUAAAUACACGUUUAAAAAAGUAAAGAAAGAAAAAUAUUGUCCAAAUAUGAGACAAAUACCCCUCAACUAUCCCCGAUGGCUUCAUAUGUAUCUAAUUUUUUAAAUGUUGGGGAUCAGAUGAAGAAAGGAAAAUGAUGAAUGUGGGCUUGUUGGCAUUUACUUAGAAAAGUCUGAAGGAAGGUCUCGAAUACUCUAACCUCUUUGUCUCUCUCUUAUGAUAAACAAUGCCCAAGAGCAGAAGGAAGAGGGGGGAGUUCCUUGGAAGAUUCUCUGGAACCAAAGCCAGCAGCUGGGGCUGUGCCGUGCACUGGAAAAGGCAGCAUCUGUGGUUUGGUCCAGGGGGACACGUGGGACAGCCCUGCGGCUACUUCAUUUGUUGCAUAAGGCAUUCUCUGCCCAUUUAAUGAGAGCAGCAGCCAACAGUGCUGUGAUUGUAGUGUUUUAAGGACUUGCGCAGUCAGAGAAACUUUAAAUAAUGUUAGCCCAGACCUUCAUAACCCCAGAAGGGGCCGUGGCCAGCUGGGUUAGGAAAGCUGAAAGACUGCUCUCACUUUCUGAAAAUUGUUCCAAAAUAUGAGCUGUUUUGACUGACACAGUCUUCUUCCUUUCUGGUCACACAGAGGUCUAGAUAUGAGGGACACACCUGACAGGAAGCAUCAAGUGACCUGUUUCCUUUUCAUUCAAAUAGAAGUCCCAAGUGCAUAUCUUCUCUGAGAAGUUUAGGGAAGGAUGAAGGAGAGCUUCCUGUGCUAUCUUUUUAAUAAGUACAUUACUGGACACUUCCUUCUUUCCUUCAUUCACUCAUCAUUCAUUCAUGCAGCAAACAUUUAUGAAAGGUGGAUUAGAUGACAUUGGGUGUGAAGGUUACUGAGAUGAAUGUAGCUCUAGCUCCCAAGGAGCUCAUAGUCCGGUGGGGGAAAUUAUCUGAACAAACGCUUGUCUGGAAAAGAGAUUCAAAAUUUUUGUGACAUGUGAGAACUCUACGUUAUUUCUGCAAGGAACAACUUCAGUUAAUGUCUAGGAAUAUUCCGCAUAGGCUUAGGGAUUUUUAUUCCAUAUAUUUUCCAGAGUUUUUAGGUAGACCCCAAUCAUUUAAUACACAAAGAGAAUCACAUCUUUCCUGAGCAGUCAAAGGUUUCAAUAUGGCCAUUCCUAUGCAUGCUUUUUUGUACAAUUAUAUAAAGGGAUAUAGACCUGGGGCAUAGCACAGAGGUCAGCCACAGCUCUGAUAACUGAAUUUCUAAUAAUCUGUUAUAAUAAGAUGGUGGGUUUGGUCUGCCAUCUAGUGAUUAAGAACUGAAUUCUUACAGCUACAUUUAAAAGCACACAAAAGCUUUAUGAGAAGACAAAUCUAUGAGGAUGUAGGAGAAACAGAGGACAAUUGAGUUACUCUUGAAUAAAAUGUGGAUAGAUAAAGUACAUCUCUUCUCUCUAAGAUAUCAGUGCCAGGACGUUUGUGGUAAUGACUUCACAGUGGAUUGGUUCAAUUUGUUGGAACAAUUGGUAAGGGUAAAAGAACCCCAUAGCUUAGAGACAAAAUUUUUGGAAGUUACGACACCACAGAAGAUUACAAAGUAAUGGCAAAAUUAUCAGACAUCCACCAGUCCUCUUCAAUUUUAGGAAAGUUAAAGAAACAUAAAUAGCAAAAUACAAGAGUCACAAUAUUGCAGUUUUGGAAUUUUUUUUCAGAUUUUAUAAAAAAAAAUGUUUACCCACGUACUCUAAGACCAAUAAUUGUUUAAGUUCUAGGCUUUAAAUCAAGGUUAAUGUUAGCAUGGGUAAAUUUUUAUGAUUUGGGUAAAGGAGUCAAGAUAGUAUUGAAUGUCUUGGAAUGUCAUAUGAAAAUUCCUAUUUGUUUUUUUUUUUUUAUAAUAUUGUCAUUUAUAAAAUAAUUGUGUCAUGACAACUCCACUGCAAAUUGUCUACAAUUUUGCUUUCCAUUUUACUUUUCUUUUCAUUUACGUGAACGUCUAUGUAGAAAGCAAAGGGGACAAACUAAUCAUAAGGUGCACAACUACCAUGUACAAACCCGAGAGCUGCAAGACACCCUGUAUUUUCUACUCAGUGUUUCUUUGUACAUGUCUUUCAUUCAGACAUGAACAAUGAGAGUUCACUGAGUUUUUGUGCCCUCUGUAAUGCGUAUGGAUUCUUGUGCGGGGGAAGAGAAGACAGGGUUUAGCAGCAAAUGUGGUUUUUCAUCUCCUUGCCAUUUAAAAGCAUUCCAACUAACUUUCCACAUCAUCUUAAAUUUAAUUAUAAAUUCUCUGGGGAAAAGGACCAGUGAUGACUCAGAGUAUAUAACUAACUUUUAACAUUGUCAUUUAAAGAAAGUAAUAUAGUGGCUCACUUCUUUGUCCCUUGGGUUGAGGUCAUGCUGUCUUAAACUUUCAGGAAGAAAGUGAUCUUCUAUGAGUUAACACAAAAGAGAGAAUGUAUCUUUUUAUUGCAACCUCAAAGAAGCCAUAGAGAACAGGAUAACUCACCCGGAAGAGGUCUCUCACACAUUUUAAUGAUAUCUAAUUGGCAACUUUAUUGCAUGUCAUUUUGAUUUUUGUUUGUUUUUCAUAUUCUCUGUUUCCACAUAUCUAAUUGUUUCAUAGGUGCAACUGAGGUCUACUUUACAGUAAUAAUAUAUAACUUUUGAAGACAGAACAUAUAUACUUUCAGUAUUUUGCACAUGCAAUAGGAAGCACAUACCCACUUAAAUCUCUCAGUAAAUAUGUGCAAACACUUUUGUCCCCUUAGGGUGGAGAAAGGAAGAACCAAGCUACUUGAUCUUAUGGUGAAUCUCAUUUUCAGCCAAUGGCAUUUAGUGUUAUUGGAUUAUUUCAUUGUUAAUCAUAAAACUUCAUGAAUAUUAAAUUCUACUCCUGAAACCAAUAUUACACUAUACGCUAACUAACCAGAAUUUAAAGAAACAACUUGAAAAAAAACUUAACGAACAAAAUUAUUCUUAAGGUAUUUACCUAAUUGAACUUUUCAGUAGACUAUAGAAAUAAGUCCAUUUCUAUAUAGCUACAUAUAGAAAUGUAACUUCCUGAUGAAACUGCAUUAUUUCAACGUGACUUUUCACCUAAAACUUAUAAGGCUUCUGACCCUCCAGUAGCUUGCUUUCGUUUGAGGCAGGCGGCAUCCCACACUGUGUCACACACAGAUGGGAGCGUCAGGUAGUUGGUACAAAUGGUCUGCAGCCUUUGUUCACCCUCUGUUGGCCCAUCUUCCUUCCCUGACUUUUUAAACUGGACCAAAGAUAAAGGGACUUUGUACCCUCUGAUGGCUUGGGGUGGGGACACCUAUUUCUUUGAAAGUUGCCAAAUGUGUUCUGUUGUAGUAUCCAAAAGUGUUGCUAUUUCUGUGAUUAUCUCUGGGAAAUGCCUUGACUGAAAUUUUGAUCGACGUUUGUUCGACGGUCUCUUCUUGGGUUCUAACCUUGGCAAACUUGCCUCGUAGCCAUGUCGGUGACCCCACACCAUUCCCGGUAGGGUGUAUGUGUUUGCUGGGCAGUCUGAGAACUCCCCGCGUCUCUGAGCCCACCCCUUACCAUCACUGCUAUCUGCAGAGUGCCAUGUCAUGGAGAAUAAACUCUUGUUUGACCAAGAAGGGGAAGAAAGCCCUCCUUUGGGCUGGGGCCGCAGACCUUGUGUCUUGACCUUCUCCCUGAGCUCUUGAGUCUUGGUGAGCAGUCACUGAACGCAAAGGACUGGAGAAUCCUGACUUCUCCUAGUGUGGCAAACGGCCCAGGGAAGGGAAAGGUGCCUCUGGGGAACGCUCCAUCUGUAACAGCCACUUUGCACCACUCACUCCUGGUUCCCUUCACAGUGAGGUUCUUUCUGCUCUAUAGCUCAGUGCUUAAGAGGUGGGUCUGGGGCCGCAACUUUUGGGCCUGACUUACAGACAGUGCUAAAUGCCUUUUGAGUCUGUAACCUGCCCAUGCGUAGACGGCCCCUCUUCUCCAGGGUUCACACUUUGACCUUAUCUCUGUGUGUGUAGAGCAGGAUAGAAAUGUGUGUACAGGGGUGUCUGCUGGUACGUGUGUGUCUACACACCAGCGUGAGUGUGCCUGUUGACAUGGGCACCUCAGAACUCUGGCCUGUGCCCACGAUUUCCACAGCUAUAAAAUGGUAGAGGAACUGCCCCCUACAGUAAAAGCAGUCACCUUCCAAAAAGGUCACAGGCAUCCUCCUAUGAUUGUUCGGAAAACACAAGAUUUGAGUGUAUCAGGGAAAAGCUGCUCUGACCUGGGGAGGACAGAGGACUUUGGAAGACAUGCUCGUUGGCCUAUUCAAAAAAGUCAUAUGUGACUCUAACGAGGGAAAGCAGCUUCAUUUGGGGCCUUGAGCCCAAUCAGAUCUGCUUUUCCCCUGGGGAAUGCCUGGUCCUCAGACUAUGCUCCCCAGCCUGCAGGAAGGAGUGAAGUGAGGUGGCCAGAGGGCAGCUGAGGGCAGGCCCCUCAGGAAUGCAUUGUUAUUCAUGUCUCUUUUCAGAGUCCUACAGUGGAUCCUGUAGAAAGGCUGCUGAGCCCCAUGCUGGGUGCUCUGAGAAACGAACAAACGAACGCAAGUGAUGUUUCUGCUCUGCUAGAGGGCUGGUUUUCUCCAGGUCUCCCUCCUCAAGGCAACCCAGUGACGAUUGUUCCAAUGCUCCUGAAUCUGAAGAUGAUUCAGUUCUUUUGUUUUUUAAAAAUUUUUAAUGCUUAUUUUUUGAGAGAGAGAGAGAGAGAGAGAGCGCGAGCGAACAAGAGAUAGAGGGAGGACACAGAAUCCGAAGCAGGCUCCAGGCUCAGAGCUGUCAGCACAGAGCCCAACGUGGGGCUCACUCACAAAUCUUGAGAUCAUGACCUAGGCCGAAGUUGGACGCUUAACCGACUGAGCUACCCAGGUGCCCCCAUGGAUGAUUCAGUUCUUAAGGUUUCUGGAAAAGUAUCCAUCCCAGCCCUUUAUGAACCAGAUCAUCUAUUUUACUGAAAGCCUUCUCCCCUUGGGAGAGAGAAUCCGGUUGAUGACUUUGGAGGGAGGUCUGGCCAUCGGUUUGGGGGUGUCACAUGGCCAGUGACCCACAAUCUCCAGCUUCCCUGUGCUGCCAGGUGGGGGAUGUGUUCUCUCUUCUGUGCUGGGGCUGAGGCCGGGGGCAAUGCAGGCCCAGCUGGGGAAGCAGCCUGGCCUCUCCUAGGAGAUGCUGUAAUAGCACGCUUCUGUCUUUCCUCAGAACCUGCUUUCUCCUUGGCAGUGAGUGCAGCCCAACCUCUAGAGCGGCUUCGUUUCUGCAGUGUUAACUGAUCUCAGGGGUGUCAGCGAGGUGCAGGGGAGGAAGGGACAGAGAUGCUGGGGCGGUGGCCAAGAGGACACCCACACCCUCCAGCAUGGCCUUUGACUCAGAGGUUAGGGACCAUGCCUAUCACUUGUGGGUACGGUUUGUGUAUCUGAAUAAAGUCUGAAGUGCUGUGACCUUUUUUUUUUUUUUGUCAAUAAAGACAUGAAACAAACAAAAUAAACAAAAGUAACAGGGCUUAUUUGAUGUACAAAUUUCUUAUUUUGUUUCAGAAUGGUCCUGUAUUACAUGUUAAGGCAGGAAUUCUAUUUUCUCCCUGGCUUAAAAUUCGUGAAACAGCACCAGGUACACAGAGCCAAUAUUGUUUUGUUGAUUAGCUGUGUGUUCUGUGAUAAACAUCUUUUGAUGAAAAUGAAACAGAUUAGAAACUUAGUGUCUUAGAAUCUCCUUGUGAAUGACACCGAAACCAGGAUGUGGUGUCACGCUUUGAAAGCAACUUUCCAUUUGCCAUAUAGCUGUGAUGAAGGGCUAGAUGUGUGAAGCCAAGUAUUCCAUGGAGCAGUGAAAAGAAUGUUAUCCAAGGAAAGCUUUCUAAAGUUAGGAAGAUGGAUAUAUGGGCCAAUGUCUUUAUCCUACACUGAAAUUUUUAUCUGUAGUCUGCAUUAUCAUUUGAGUAUAUUUAUAUGGCAAAUGAUAAAUUCUUUCCAUUGUAAUACUUUGGAUAGUGACAGAUGGUUACAUUUAUCGUGCUGAGCAUUUUAUAGUACAUAUAAUUGUCAAAUCACUAUGUCUUACACCUGAAAAUAUAUUGUAUAUCAACUAUACUUCAUUAAAAUAAAGAAAAAUGAUAAAUUAUCUUAUAAACUAAUGCAUUUUUAAAGUUUCAGUUUUAUUUUUGUAAAGUAUACAUUAAUGCUGGUGCAAUUAAGUUAGUGAACCAUAAUUCAGAUUCACUUACUCAUUCAUUCAUAUCUAUUUUGUUGAAUGUUGGCUCCCUGCAAGGUAUGGAGUCAAGCUUUAGAAAUACCAUGAUGAAAAAGAAAAACUAGUCCUUAUUUUCAUGGCAUUUAUGGUCUAGUGAAGGAGAUAAAAAAUAAAAAGUAAAAAUGGUAAAUUAAUAUUACUUGUGAUAGGUUUUAUGAGGGCUGUGAUUUUUGCCUGUCUGUUCACAUUUUAGAAACUGGUUAAUUAGCCGGCAUAUAAAACAAAAUUAAUGAAUGGAUGGGUGGACGACUGAGUUCUUCAAAAAGUACUGAGAGUCAUACUAGUUGGAUAAAGGAGGUCUCUUUAAAAAAAUGUUUAAUGUUUAUUUAUUUUUGAGAGAGAGAGAGAGAGCACGAGUGGGGGGAGGGAGAUCUACUUCUAUAGAGUAGUCAGAGAACUGUGGGGGCAGGUGACAGUAAGCAAAAUGUAAUAGUGAACUCUGUGUGCCUUCAAGGAGGGAGGGCAAAGUUGUGUAAGGACUGGGAGAGAGGAAUCUCUGGGCUUUAGAAUUUGAGUAGUUGGGAACAUUCUACAGGAGUUAAACUAGGAUGGUAUGAUAUGAUAUGAUCCACAUUGUGUUUUAAAAUACUAUAGUUUUGUUUCUUAAAAGUCACAAAGUUAAAUAUAUAUAUAUAUAUAUCUUAUAAUAAAUAAAUUAUAUUUAUCUUAUAAUUGUAUUGUUAUUGUUAUGUGUGUAAAUGUGUGUAUAUAUUUUCUAAAUCUGCAUUAAGGUUUUAUCUAAGUGUAGAAAAGUAUUUGGCAGAUAUUAUAUAAUAACUUACCAUAUUGUCGUGGUCAGGACUCCCCUUAAUUAAUUUUUAUGCAAAGAUAAUUACUGCAUUGCCUUUUUAAGCUUUGCUAUUCCUUGAGUAAACACCUUUAGUUUAGCAAAUACAGUCCAUGAAAUGGAACGCUAUUAUUCUUUUAAUAGCGUUCAAAAUAGCGUUCUUUUAAUAGCGUUUUCAAAAAACUAAUUUUUGAAAACCCAUACACUCUUUUUAAAGUUUUUCUUCACAGUGCAAGAAUAUAUAUCAUCUUCUGUUGUUGUGGGAUUUACUAAUCUAAAAUUUCUAGGGAAUUGAAAAUCACAUAAAAGUUCACCAAACCCGGAAGUUAUAUAUUCCCUUUUGAACUAUUCUUUUCCUCCCCCUUUCAAAUGGUUUGUUUUUAUCUCUUCUUACUAAUUUUCCUAUGUUUGGUUAUCUAUACCUUCACAAAUGAAAUCUUUUGGGAAGCAUUAUCUGAUUAAAUAUAUCUCCUUUGAUCACUUUUUUUUUCUUCCCCCGUCAUGCUGGGCUAGAAGUAUAAGCAUUUCAUUGUGAAUUGCAUUUUGCUUUGUAUGUAAAUACCAAAUAAAGUAAGUUCAUCUGUAUAUUGCCUCCUUGGUAGGUUACUGCUUAGCCCAGAAUUUUUAGAACCCACAAGAUGACUCCCCUUCUUAAGUAUUUCCCAGAUUCCAAAAUUUCAGAAUAUUACUAACCUCCUUCCCCCCCCCCCCGCCCUUCUUUUUUUUCUUAUUCUAGAAGGAUAUGGUGAAGAAAUAGCCUGCACUCAGAAUGGUCAGAUGUACUUAAACAGGGACAUUUGGAAACCUGCCCCUUGCCAAAUCUGUGUGUGUGACAAUGGAGCCAUCCUUUGUGACAAGAUACAGUGCCAGGAUGUACUUGAAUGUGCUGACCCUGUAACUCCCCCUGGAGAAUGCUGUCCUGUCUGUCCACACACAACUGGAGGUGGCAAUACCAAUUUUGGUAAGAAUGCUCAAGGCCAACUCAGAGCUGGUCCAGUGACUCAUCUUUAUAGUUGCGGUGGUUUCUGCUCUCAGAAUUCAGCAACCAGAGAGAAUAA
rnacentral:lncRNA from 1 species